rnacentral:lncRNA from 1 species
GAACUCUGAGGUCUGUGGCCGAGGUAGAUAUACCUUGAAGUCUCCAAGUGUCGCUGCUCAUUGAUGACGUGGCUGGUAAGAAGUACCUGGAUCUGCAAACGAAAACAUGUGUAGAAGAGUAGUGUGAGUACACCACGACGGUACCUAGUAAGUGCCAAGCCUAACAUCGGUCGAGUAGUGACGAUGUCAGGUCAAGUCACUAUAUAUAUAUAUAUANNNNNNNNNNNNNNNNNNNNNNNNNNNNNNNNNNNNNNNNNNNNNNNNNNNNNNNNNNNNNNNNNNNNNNNNNNNNNNNNNNNNNNNNNNNNNNNNNNNNNNNNNNNNNNNNNNNNNNNNNNNNNNNNNNNNNNNNNNNNNNNNNNNNNNNNNNNNNNNNNNNNNNNNNNNNNNNNNNNNNNNNNNNNNNNNNNNNNNNNNNNNNNNNNNNNNNNNNNNNNNNNNNNNNNNNNNNNNNNNNNNNNNNNNNNNNNNNNNNNNNNNNNNNNNNNNNNNNNNNNNNNNNNNNNNNNNNNNNNNNNNNNNNNNNNNNNNNNNNNNNNNNNNNNNNNNNNNNNNNNNNNNNNNNNNNNNNNNNNNNNNNNNNNNNNNNNNNNNNNNNNNNNNNNNNNNNNNNNNNNNNNNNNNNNNNNNNNNUCUCGUAGUACCAAAGUAAAUAUAUAGUACUAACAAUAGAAAUAGCAGCUACAACACUAAAUCCUAUCGUUAGACUUAGUGCAAGUCAAGUAAAGGUAGGGAAUCCACUAAGCAUACUGCAUAGAGUUCAUAUAAACAAUUAAGACAUGUAGAUAUGUUAAACAGGACAAUUACACAUGCUAGUAUAACUCAAUUAAAGCAAAACAGGUUAUUACUUAGUGAAAAAAUGGAGCUUUACAACAACUAGGGCGUGUAUGCACUCGUGACUUCAUCUACACAGAGCUCACAUAUCAUAACAGUACCAAAUCCAAAGGGGAGCUUCCCCGCCACAAGGUUAGGCUAGCCACUUGCCUCGAAUUAGGUCAAUCAAUCGGUAACAAUGCCUUCUCCAUAAAUAUCCGACUCUGAAUGGCCAAAAUCUAGCCAAAAGCAAUUACAUAUCAAAAAUACAACUCUAAUAGACUAAUUUAAUUAUUGAAAUCAAGACUUUAAUAAAAAAAAUUAAAAAUCACCCUAAAAAGCUUCCCUGGCUCACGUCUCAGAAUCGGGUAAAAGUCACAAAAUAUGAACACUCAUUCACUCACAAGUUUACUCGUACCAAAAUUAUCCAAAUUCGAUAUCAAAAUCCCAAAAAAAUCCAAAAUCUUAGUUGAAGAACUUCUACCAUUUUUACCCAAAUUUCUCAACCACAAUCAUUAAUUAAAUAAUGAAAUCAACCAUAGAUUAGUAGAAUAUAACCAUAAAGGAGUUAAGAAUCGUAACCAAAAGCUUUCUCUAAAAAUCCCUCAACUAAUUGCCCAAUCCGAGCUCUCAAAGUCCCAAUAUUGAAAAUGGGAUAAAACCCUCGAACUUGGCACUUUUUUGCCCAUCGAUUAUGAAUCUCCGGGCCAAUAAUCACACCUGCAAUGUCGCGCCUACAGAAAUUCCAUCGCAUGUGCGGACUUUACUUAAGUACCCUAGGUCCAUAUCUGCGAUAAGGUGGUUACAAAUGCAUGUGUGGACCAACAGAAUUCACCUCGCACCUGUGACCCCUGCCAAACAUUCCAAACCUGCCUCUGCGUCUGGCCUCUACGCAUGUGCGAUCCCACAUGUGUGGUCCCCCAACAACAGGUGCAAAUACACCAGCAACCAAAAAUCUUCAGCAAUUGCAUAAGUCAAAAUUUCAAAUCAUUGACCAUACCAAACACACCCGAGGCCCCUGGGACCGCAACCGAACAUACCAACAACGCCUAAAACACCAUAUGAACUUAGUCGAGACCUCAAAUCACAUCAAACAACGCCAAAAACAUGAAUCACCCUCCAAUCUGAAUUUAAUGAACUUGAAACUUCAAAUUUCUACAACUGAUGUUGAAACCUAUCAAACCACGUCUGAUUGACCUCAAAUUUUGCACACAAGUCAUAUUCAAUAUUUCGACAUACUCCAACUUCCAAAACACAAUCCGGCCCCAAUAUCAAACGUUCAUUACCAGUCAAAAUAUCCAAAAAUUUGACUUUUGUCAUUUCAAGCCUAAAUUAGCUACAGACCUCCAAAGCACAAUUCGAAAAUGCCCCUAAGCCCAAAACCACCCAAUGAAGCUAACAUAACCGAUGAAACUCCAUUCCGAAGUCAUCUUCACGUAGUUCCUACUACAGUCAAUAUCCUAAGGCUUAAGCUUCCGUUUAGGAACUAAAUGUCCUAAAACACUCUGAAACAAAAAAAAAAAAGAAAAAAGAAAAGAAAACCUCCAGGCAAGUCGCAGAAGUAGAAAAAAAUACAUGAAAAACAGAAAAUAGGAGCUCGGGGAUAUUACUUGACACACGUCCUACUUACAGCACCCGCGAGGGCACAAAUGAGGUUUUCCAAUUAAAAGACAAUCGAAACGGAACUUGUUUAUUAAGAUUCAGAGUCGCCACUUAUGAUAUUUAUGGUGUCCCAAGUCACCGUUGAAUCUCGAAUCGAGGAAAAGAUUGACUCUGUUUAACAGUACGCGAACCAGAAAUCCGAAUAAAGAAUUUUGUUAACCCGGGAGAAGGUGUUAGGCAUUUCCGAGUUCCGUGGUUCUAGCACGGUUGCUCAACUGUCAUUUUCGGCUUAUUUAUCUUAUUUUAAUACAUGUUAAACAUAUUUGCAAAUUUUAACUUUUAACCGCUUUUAUUAUUUAUUCAUAUUUAGCUUAUUUAUUCAAUUUUAUUACACGUUGUAACUUAUGUGAAAAUUUUAACUUUUAACUGCUUUUAUUUAAAUUAUUAAAGAAGAUUGAACAUCAUCUGAAAUAUGUCUUUGGAUUGCACCGCAUGAAAUGAACCCGCAAUCCAGAACAUACCUGAGUCGAUGCUUUGGGAUUUAGAUUUGGGUUUCAUGAAUUGCACACCCGAGUUUAGGGAGGUAAAAUUAUUAAUUACGCACCUAAAGAUACAAACGCGUUAUUAUUUGGAGAAAGCCGUGAAAUUCGCUAAACGGCAUGUCCCGCAGUAUAAAAUAUUUAUUAACCUUUAUUGAGGGCCCCACAUUUUACGUAUUUUUAUUUGGCGAGGCACACCUCAUAUUUAUUUAAAGGACAAUCCUUAAGUGGCUACAUUGUCUAUUUUUUUUGUUGUCUCUAAAAAAUAAAAUUAAAAAAAAAAUCAUAGUUAAUUACAUGCUUGAAAAGGCAUCUGUUAUUGGCUACUAGCUUACGACAAAUGCUAACAAAAUAUUUACAAUCGAACUUGCGCAAAGAGAAAUUAUUUCAUGCCUUAUUCUAUAACCCUAUAUUACUAAGAUUUGAAAAUAGAUAGAUCAACGGAUUAAAAAAUAAUAUUAAUCAAAAUAAACUAAUUUUCAUUUAAUUAAAUCAAAUCCACAUGGUUGUAAGAAUUGAACCGUUGGAAAUGCUUGUUUAUAACUAGUAGAAAUAAAAACCAACCUUAAUUACCAAAGCUUGCAAAAGUUUGUUAAAAAUAUCUUAAUCCACACUUGGAAAAAUCUAUUAUAAUUAAAGGAUCUCUAACCCUCCUUGUUCGAACUCAGCUUGCCUUUUUUGUGAAUCCCAAUAUACCAGUUAUUAACUAGAACAACUCAACUAAUGAUUAAUUAACUUAAAACCUGAUACAUUUGAAUAUGUUAUGACUGAAAUGAAUUGGAGAUGGCAUGAUGUGCAUACUACACCGUUGGUUCUUUUCUAACUAACAUUCAUAGGAACGAGUUUGUAAUAAAACUAAAACUACUACGGAUCAAUACUUAUUUAUACAUUACAAUUAUUCACAUGCUUCUAAUGAAUUAAUAACUAACAUGUAUACAUCUCAGAAAAUAAAUUACAACUAAAUGACUUCAAGCCUUAAGGCUGCCCUUUUUUUUCAUGCUUCAAAUAUUCCAACUUACAUUGUGUACCAGUAAAGUAGUUGUGUACCUGGUAUUUUUCACACGAAGGAGAAAGGAAGAAUCAGUAAUGCAGUAGUACAAACACAGCGACAGCAGUAUAGCAGGUUCAGCGACAGCCUAGUAAUAGAUUAAAAAUCGAGUAGCAAUUUUCGGAAAAAAAAAAACUCCAAACAGCAACACCCAAAUGCACCCGAAAAAUAGCACCAACCAGUGUAAUCAAAUAGAUAACCAAUGCAGAUUUAAAAACAGAGGAAAAACCCAGCAGAAAACCAACAAAGCGGUAGCAAAGUUCUAAUAACACUUAAAAGAUGCACAAGCUGAAGCUCAUGUUUGUGUAAGCUUAAGUCUUACUUUCAAAGAAGAAAUAAAAGAAAAAUAAUUUUUGUUCUUAAUCUUUUAAGCUCUGAAAAUUUUUGAUCUCCAAAUUCCCCUCCUUUCUAAGUGUCAAAUGACUCUUAUUUAUAUCUAAAAAAUACGACUCUCUCCACUAUUCUUUUAACUAUUAACUAUAAUAUUUCUGAUUUUUAAUCAAGCAAAAGUAGUCAAACACGGACCCCACGAUCCACCCUCUUUUUAGUUUACAUCAUUAUGCUCCCCACAAGUCUUUUCCCCUCUUAUUUUAAUUAAAAAUUAUGGGCCCACAUUUAAUCAAUUUCUAAAAUACCCUCGAAAUUACAAAAAAUUACUAUUAUACCCCAAUCCUCCGAUCUGUACCCAAAAUUAUCAACUGACCGACAUUGAUUCUUAAUUCAAACAACAAAUCAUUACAUCUAUAACCAAAUUCUAAUUAAAUUUAGCAAUUAAUCACAAACUAAAUGAUGAACAAUAAAUAACCAACUAAAAUUAUUUUGGCUGAACAAUAUUUGUUAACAAUAAACAUACUUUCACGUUUAACAACAAUAACAAACAAAUAAAUUCAAAUCACUAAACUCAUAUUCAAAUUAAACUUAACAAAUCAAACAAAUAAAUUCAAAUCUCUAACUUAGAUCCAAAUUUAGACUUAAAAUAAUAAUAAAACAGAUUCACAUCACUAAACUCAAUAAUCAAUUGAACAUCAAAUUAAGUAUAACAAUAUUUCAACCAAGAUGAAAGAUUUUUUAAACUACCACACUUCUUAAAAAAUGAAUAAAAACAAACUAAUGAAAUAAACAAGAAAAAUGAUAACCAACGAACAAGAAAAGAAUCAAACAUAAACUGACUUCAGAUCCGAGAAUAUCAAACAAAAUACGGACAGAAAUGAAACUUAAACCAGCUAACCGGAUCGGAACAACGACGAAUUCGAACGGAAACAAAUCUGCCCGAAACUUUGAAACCAAAAAUAACUCGAAUAUUUCAACAACCACCUCAAAUAAACCUCGAAAGAACACAGGCGAGUUCUAACACGGACUGAACUCAUGAUAUUUCUAUAUGUCGUGCCAGACGGAGUUGGUUCACGGAGGGUAGCGGGGUCAUUUGGACGCUGGUCCACGGAGCUGGCAGCGUGGUCGUUUGGAUAGAGCUGACUGGUUCCGUGGUCGACGCAGAAGGUGAAGUUGUUUGGUUGAGGGAGCUUUUUCUGGUGUUAUGCUGGUAGAAAUGUCUUGUCGUUCAUGGUGGCUCGCAGCUGGACGAAUUGUGUGACGGAGGGCAGCAUCUGGCGUUGCUGGCGUGAAGCUGGUGAUCGACUGGCGGGGAAGAGAGCUAUGUGUGGUGAGGUCGUUAGCUGGAGGGUUGGGAUGAUGGUUUGGUGGAGGUUUACUUGUUGAAUGUGGUGCCUGCUGGGAGUUAGCAUGGGUGGUAGACGGGCAUGGCAGUAGGGUGGUGGUUUGGUUUUUAGGAUUCCACUAGGUUUUUGUUUGGGUGUUGAAGAAGAUUAAGAAGACCCUUCUUUGUCUUCAUUUUUUUGUGAGUAGUGGCUGAUGUGUGUUAAGUGUAGAGUAGGGUUUAUUGGCUUGGAAUAGGUCAAGGUUUUUGGGCUUAGGUAAGGGAUUUUUUUGUUUGGCCCUGGUUUGUUUAAUUUGGAAGAUAGCCCAAUCCAAAUUUCCUUCUAUCUUUUGUUCUCUUCUAUUUAAUCAACUUCCUAAUUAAUAAAAUUAAGAUACUAAGAUUAAAUUAUAAAAACUAAAAUUAUCUUGAAAUACUAAUUAACUCCUAAUAAUAAUUAUCAUUUAAAUUAAAUAACAAUUAAAACACAAUCACGCAAUUUAGACAUUAAAGGCUAAAAAUGUAAAAGAUGCCUACUUUUGUGAUUUUCAUUUUGUAAAACAAACUUGAUUACUCCUAUUUGUAGAAUUAAACCCUAAAUGCAAAUGCAACAUAUUUUUGUAUUUUUUUAUUAAUUUAACGAAUAGGCAUGCAAAGAUAAAUACAAAUAAUACAAGAAAAAUAACACAAAAUUCACAACAAUUGCAAACAAACUAAAUUGUUUUAUUUUGAAUUUUUCUGGGAAUAAUUCAUAUAUAGGGAAAAAAUCACAUGCUCACAGCUGCCCUUCUUUGCUCGUAAACAUGAAGAGUUUUCGUGCAAAGAUAAAGUGACCGGAUACGAGCAAUUUUUGCCCGUUCGAGUACUCCGUGUGAAGCAUUUAUUGAAAAAGAUUUAACCGAACCUUUGCUUCAAAGGUGUAUAGCAUAUCCCUGGCUAAAGGGAAUCAGGUUAAUAUAGUUCGGAAAAUUGUGGUAGCUGGGACUACCAUGGGCCUGCUAUUUGUUUUUAGUGCUGCUGCAUGUUGUUACUACUGUUUUACCGAUCUCCUUAUUACACCGUGCUAAAGAGAAAAACAAGAAGAUAGGCUAACCUACGGAUCACAAGAUCCUAUCUAUCUUCAAUUUAUUUUUGUUGGCCUUGCUUUCUUGACAGCUUGUGUUUCUUCCGGUGAUUCUUUCUUCCGAGAGCUUGGGGAUGACACUGACCUUUUGCCUGUCUGAACACUAUUUUUCAUUGAUCUUUGCUUGUUCUACUAGGGAUGUGGCUUCCCUCAUUACAAUUAUUGGCAAUUCCACUGGGGAGACGCCUUUCUUUCAUCGGCAUUUGUUAUGCUAUGGCUUUUGUUGUAACCUUCUGCCUUCCGGGGGUUAAGAAUUUCAAGUCAUAAUUGCAAAGCUAUAUGACUGGAGUUAUAAGCAAUGCGAUUAUAUGAGAUGUAGAGGCAAAGUGACACGUAGUCAUAUGAGAUGUAGAUGCAAGAUGACGCGUAGUCAUAUGAGAUGUAGAUGCAAGAUGACACGUAGUCGCAUGAUAUGUGGAUGCUAAGUGACGCGUAGUAAUAUGAGAUGUAGAUGCAAGAUGAAGCAUAGUCAUAAGAGAUGUAGAUGAAAAGUGGCACGUAGUCACAUGAGAUGUGGAUGCCAAGUGACGCGUAGUCACAUGAGAUGUAGAUGGAAAAUGACAUAUAGUCAUAUGAGAUGUAGAUGCAAAGUGACACGUAGUCACAUGAGAUGUAGAUGCAAAGUGACACGUAGUCACAUGAGAUGUGGAUGCUAAGUGACGCAUAGUCACAUGAGAUGUAGAUGCAAAAUGACACGUAAUCAUAUGAGAUGUAGAUGCAAAGUGACACGUAAUCACAUGAGAUGUAGGAUGCAAAGCUAUAUGACACGUAGUCAUAUGAGAUGAAGUCAUAACUUGAAUUCGGUUUCCCCCUCUUUCCGAGGAAAUGUUCGACAAAGGCAUAAGAUUUUGCUGCUGACAAACAGUCAUAUGAGAUGAAGUCAUAACUUGAAUUCAAUUUUCCUCCCUUUCCAAGGAAAUUUUCGACAAAGGCAAAAACUUUUCUGCCCCAGUUCUGGCGAUCUCCCUUGUGGUAUGCCCUUCUUCCAUUAUCAGCAUUUCUUUUUUUGCUUUAAGUCAAAGAAAACUUUAUUAGUUCAAAACAUGGUGAGUGGUUGUACCUCUCGUGCAUGGGAGUCUCUUAGAAUUUGGUCCACGUUUUCCCAAAUGUUACCUUUCCAACUUUUCCCAUACUUCUCCUGAUAUUCUGGACCCAUCCGAUGGAGUGAAUUAAACACUUUGGUAAAACAAGCCUAACCAACUCCACACCAAUUCAAACAAGAACAUUCUGUUCAAGAGAGUCUUGCAACAAUGCUCUUUCGUUUUGUUACCUUGUCUUCCGCUUGCCUUGUUCGUAUUUUGCCUUGUACCAUUUGGCAACUGGUAGCAAGCCUUGACAAACCUUUCUCAAAAAUAAACUGCUGGGGGGAAGGUAAGAGAAAUGAUAGAAAAUGGGGGGAAAUCUUUCUAAAUGAAUAUUGGGAAAAUAAAAGACUUAUCUGGGUGGUGUAUUGGACCCGAUGAUCAUGUCAUAUAUUCUGGAAAAAUCGACCCAGUCUAUUGGUAUUAAUCAAUUUCUGAUGGCUUCAUUUGCUGGGGAUAAACAGGUGCACAACUUUUUCCUAAAUGCAAUUCCUUUCCACCAAUAUUAUCUUGUCGCCUCAUAGUGCUUUUCGAGGGGUUUUUACUAACAAGACUCUCUCAUUUCUAUCUGCUCUCGUCGCUUUAUGGCGCCUGUGAAGGUUUUCACUACAGGACUCUCUCAUUUUGUUUUCUCUCAGCUUUCGUCGCCUUAUGGUGCCUGUAAAGGUUUUCACCAUAAAACUCUAUCAUUUUAUUUUCUCAGCAGGGAAUGGGAGCGUUACCAAUAAGAUUCUUUCUACUGGGGAAUUCUUUGGCUAUCAACUCUACCGGGGAUUCCUUUGGCUAGCAAUUCUGCUAGGGAUUCCUGCUAGCAAUUCUGUUAGGGGUUCCUGCUAGCAGUUCCCUCAACUCAUGAUCUUCCCUCGUUCGGGAAUCAGUUCAUUAUUCCUGGCUUCCAAUUGCCUGAUUGCUAGGGAUUCCUGCUAGCAGUUCCCUCAGCUCAUGAUCUUCCUUCGUCCAGGGAUCACUGUAUUAUUCCUGGCUUCCACUUGCCUGACUCGGCACCUUUGUGAUACUGAUCGAGGUCUUUUACGGAUAUAACAUGUGGGUUUUGUGGGCUUGAAAGAAAAAAGGUAUCAAAAAUUCGAAAUGACUUUGAUGGGUGAGAGACUACAAAUCUUGGAAUCAAAAAUUUUCUAACAACCUAAGUUCUGCCCCAGUUUUCUGCUUGGGGAUUUUGAUUUUUCGCGAUAUUUCUUCACGCUAUGACCGAGCCGUGAGGCACCUACGUAUCCUUUCAUGAGGAAUCAGGUCAAACGUAGUUCCUAAAGUUUUGUUUUCUUAUGAUUUUCUUAACAUUUUUCUCUUCUUUUUUUUCAUUUUUUUUUUGUUUUCUUUAACGAUCCAAGAGAGGGGUAUGAAAGACCAAAUACGGCUCAAAGGGGGAAAUAAAGAUUGACAGUGUUUCGGUAGAAGAAAGAGUUUCCUUUGUCAUUUCGUUAUCCGAUGAACACCAACUACAAACAAACAAAAAUAAUGAUAAAUACAAUCAAGGAAUUUACACAUAGUAUAUCUUGAUUGCAUCAAAAUUUAUUGCCAUAUAAAUGCAUCUUCCUUCGGCAUCCGUCAAACAUAAAGCACCAUUGGAUAACACCCUGGUCACAACAAAUGGUCCUUGCCAGUUUGGGGCGAACUUGCCCCUUUGCCUCGACCUGAUGCGGAAGAAUCCGUUUCAAUACGUGCCGCCCUAUUCAAAUUUCCUGAUGUGGGAGAAUCCAUUUCAAUAUGGAUGCUGAUUUUGGUUUCCUUCACAUUGUCGGCAUUCCCCUAAUUGCCAGCUUUAGUGUCAUUUAAGUUGAGCUUGGGUUUUUCUUCGUACUGGCUUAGUUCCCUAUUUACCUCUUUAAAGACUUCAUCCUCAUCAUAUUUCAAUUUGGGAGAAUCCGUUUCAAUACCUGCUGCUACUUCAAAUUUCCCGAUGUGGGAGAAUCCGUUUCAAUAUGGUUGUUGAUUUUGGUCUCCCUUACAUUGUCGGCAUCCCCCUAAUUGCCAGCUUCAGUGUCAUCAAAGUUGGGCUUGGGUUUUUCUUCGUACUGUCUUAGCUCCCUACUUACCUUCUUUAAGGACUUCAUCCUCGUCAUAUUCUGAUUCAUUAUCACAGUCGGUCUCCUAUAUAAUUAUCUCAGAAUUAGAUUGAUCAUUUAGACUAGGCCAAAGAUCCGUCGUGCAUGCCAUAUCAUCAUAACCAAUAAAAAGAGUAUUGUUCAGAAAUCAAAAGAAGAAAAAACAAAUUUAAACAAAACAAGAAUAGAAAACUUUUACUUCAAUAAAACAGGGGAUAACAGGGUUCACAAUUUAGCUAAAAAUAAAACAAAAUUUGUAUUACACCCUGGAAUAAUCAAGAAAACAAGAAGGAAAAUCAGAGCCCACUACCAAGACUCCCUCCAGCUUACCCUGACAUGGAGCGUCUUUCCAAUUAACAAGCACGACAUUUUUAGCUAUUGAGCUUUGCAUACCUAUUGCCAAGACGACUAUCUGCUUCAAGAUCUUCAGCUUUAGUCAGUAUAUUCACAUGCGCCAUGUCACCGGGCAUCAUCCCCACAAAGUUUGAAUCAUCAUUAUUAUGUAAAGGAUUCAGUGUGAUAUUCUGGAUGUCACUGUCUUGAAUCAAAUUUUCCUGGAUCUUGUACCUCCAUCUUACCACAGACCGAUCACUCCAGCUUUCUCAAAAUUCAAAAAAAAAACAUGUUAGAAUGGACUUAGUCUGUCCUCAUUAUUAACAACAUCUUUUGCCUUCUUCUUUCUUUUUUUCUUUUUUCUUUUUUUCGAUUUUUUUUCUUUUUUUUUUGUUUUGGUCGAAUCUUAUGGAGAUUGCCUACGUAUCAUGACCUGCAUGAAUCAGACCUUGCAUAGUUCGGACAUGAUUACAACGGUUUAAAAAUUGACCAUACUAACAGACUUUGACGAAAAGACAAUCUACAUACCUGAAAAUCAAAACAUGCCACACCCUAAGCAGAAGAAUUACAAACUCAAAAACAAACGGCAGGCUUCCUUUCCAUUUUUGCCAAUUUCAACCAAAUGGUUAUCUUUGCAAACGUGGCCUUUUUCCAAUUUCACAUGAAAUUUGAGGCCAUGGAGGAUUGUUUUAUUACACUACAAACUGGUCCAUUCUUUUACGAAAAUAGCCCUUCAACAACUGAAAAAUACUCUAAGGCUAUCUCGGCAAGAACGGUUUAAUACAUUGCCGAAGCUGGCUCGGCUUAUUUUUUACUAAAAUUUUGAACGACAAUCACUUACCCACUAACCUUUUUUUUUCAAAUUAAAAUAAAAGGCCAAGUUUCGCAAAGAUGACUUUUCUGCAAUUCGGGGACGAAGAUUUUAUGGCUGUGUGGGUCAGCUGGCCAAAAUCUAAAAAAAUAUGACCCAAAGAUAAGUUUAUGCAAAGUCAUCCUUCCGGCCCCAUUCGGGAACAUUCGGCUAUUUUUGAUAAAAACAGCAUCCCCCAACUUAUUUAUGACGAAAAUAAAAUCUUUGAUAUUUUCCGCUAUUUUUUGCAAAGGGGAGGUUGGACCCGAUUAGGGUUUCCUACGUAUCUCACUUCCGGUGAGAAUCAAACCAGCGUAGUUUGCCCAAUAAAUUACCUAAUUUUUGAAAACAACAUUUUUUUUCUUUUUCGUUUAUAGCAAGCAAACUAUUUUUCCUUUCAGUUUUGAAAACAAAGAAAAAAUAGAAGACUAUUUUCUAAACAAAGCAAACAAAGUAAAAUAUUUCUCUUUUUUUUCAUUUUCUCAAAAUUUCGGCAGAAUUCCAACAGUAGUUGGACAUAAAGACUUUUUUUUAAUUAAUCAUCUAUCUCUCCAACUGCUAUAUUUCUUUUUGUCAAUUUUUUAAUAUUCCCGAGAUUCAGAAUCUGGUCAACAUGCGGGUCCGAAUUAAAUAAAUGCGCAGAACAACAGUAGGAUGCAUCAAGAUGGUCUUUUCUAUUUCAGGUUGUUAUUCCUAGACGAACCCAACCCCUGUGUUGAGUCCCCUAAGUCAAAAUGCACAUGAUGCACAUAAGCGUUCCUACCAGGGAUCCAACAUGAGGUUAAGUUAUUCUUAAUUCAAUACCUGGGUGUUUGUUCUAGACCUGGCUUACCCGAGCGAACGAAUCGAGCCGAAGAGGGCCAGUGUAGCUGGUAACAUUGCUUUCCGGUUUAAGUGGAAGCGCUCCCCGCCUAAAACAUGUGUGACUAAAAUCCUUCACUAGGUGCCAAGCACCUCAGCAAUCUCAAAGAAAGUGGGCUAUGUCAAGCAAAUGCCCAAUUUUAAUUUUUAGAAGACUCAGAGGGGAUGCGUGAGAAGGCAAUUUAUAUACAGUGUUCAAAAAAUUAUCAAAGCGGUAAAAAGAAACAUUUAGCACAUUAUGAACAAACAUGUAACAAAAUCAAAUAAUAUUCAUGCUAAAUACACCAAUCAUUUCCAAGCUUGAAUUUCUAACCCUGAAUCAGUGGUUCUGGGUUAAGUUCCCUAGCAGAGUCGCUAGAGCUGUCACACCUCCUUCUUCCGGCGCCCGCGAGGGCACAAAGGAGUUUUUCCAAUUAAAGGACAAUCGAAAAGGAAUUUGUUUAUUAAGAUUCAGAGUCUCCACUUAGGAGAUUUAUGGUGUCCCAAGUCACCGGUUGAAUCCCAAAUCGAGGAAAAGAUUGACUCUGCUUAACAGUCCGCGAACCAGAAAUCCGGAUAAGGAAUUUUGUUAACCCGGGAAAAGGUGUUAGGCAUUCCCUAGUUCCGUUGUUCUAGCACGGUCGCUCAACUUUCAUAUUUAGCUUAUUUAUCAGAUUUUAUUACAUGUUGUAACUUUUGUGCCAAUUUUAACUUUUAACCGCUUUUAUUCAAAUUAUUAAAGAAGAUUGAACAUGAUCUGAAAUAUAUCUUUAGAUUGUGCCGCAUGAAUUGAACCUGCAAUCCUGAACAUACCUGAGUUGAUAUUUUGGGAUUUGGAUUUGGGUUGCAUGAAAUGCACAACCGAGUUUAGGGAGGUAAAGUUAUUAAAUACGCACAUAAAGAUACAAACGCGUUAUUAUUUUGAGAAAGCCAUUAAAUUCGCUAAACGGCAUGUCCCGCAGUCUAAAAUAUUUUUUAACCUUUAUUGAGGACCCCGCAUUUUACGUAUUUUUAUUUGGCGAGGCACAUCUUAUUUUUAUUUAAAGGAUAAUCCUUAAGUGGCUACAUUAUCUAUUUUUUUGUUUGUCUCUAAAAAAUAAAAUAAAAAAAUCCUAGUUAAUUACAUGCUUGAAAAGGCCAUCAAUUAUUGGCUACUCGCUUACGACAAAUGCUAACAAAAUAUUUACAAUCGAACUUGCGCAAAGAGAAAUUAUUUCAUGCCUUAUUAUAUAACCCUAUAUUACUAAGAUUUGAAAAUAGAUAGAUCAAGAGAUUAAAAAAUAAUAUUAAUCAAAAUAAACUAAUUGUCAAUUAAUUAAAUCAAACUCACAUGGUUAUAAGAAUUGAACCGUUGGAAAUACUUGUUUAUAACUAUUAGAAAUAAAAGCCAACCUUAAUUAUCAAAGCUUGAAAAAGUUUGUUAAAAAAAAAACUUUUUCGACACUUGGAAAAAUCUAUUAUAAUUAAAGGAUCUCUAGCCCGCCUUGUUCGAACUCAGCUUCCCUUUUUUUUUAUGAAUCCUAAUAUACUAGUUAUUAACUAGAACAAAUCAACUAAUGAUUAAUUAACUUGAAACGUGAUACAUUUGAAUAUGCUAUGACUGAAAUGAAUUGGAGAUGGCAUGAUGUGCAUACUACAGCGUUAGUUCUUUUCUAACUAACAUUCAUAGGAACGAGUUCGCAAUAAAACUAAAACUACUACGGAUCAAUACUUAUUUAUGAAUUACGACUAUUCAAAUGCUUUAAUGAAUUAAUAACUAACAUGUAUACAACUCAGGAUAUAAAUUACAACUAAAUGACUUCAAGCCUUAAGGCUGCCCUUUUUUAUUAAUGCUUCAAAUGUUCCAACUUACAUUGUGUACUAGUAUAGUAGUUGUGUACCUAGUAUUUUGACUCGAAGAAGAGAGGAAGAAUAAGUAAUACAGUAGUACAAACACAGCAAUAGCAGCAUAGCAGGUUCAGUGACAGCCUAGUAACAGAUUAAAAAUCUAGUAGCAAUUUUCGGAAAAAAAAACUCCAAACAGCAAUACCCAAAUGCACCCAAAAAACAGCACCAACCAGUGUAAUCAAACAUAUAACCGUUGCAGAUUUGAAACCAGAGGAAAAAUCACAAGCAAAGGGAUAUAAAAUGACAACUCUGGAAUCUAAUAAAAAUUACCAAAAACCAGAAUCUCAAAAAUCACAAGCUAAGGGAUAUACAAGAAGCUCUAACUCCGGAAAUGUCUAAACGAAGGAAAAUACUGAAAAGGCUAUACUUAUUACAGAAAGAUAGAACGGAGUAAAGAUCUUCAGUUAAGAAAAUUAAGAGUCAAUUAGGAAAUAAGAAUGAACCAUAAACCAAUUAAUUUCAAGUAAAACAUGUAGAGGUGAAACUAGUAAUAGGGAAUUCAAUCAUAUCAAGAACAACUUCAUACUCAGUGAAGGUAAGGACCUAAAACCUAAAAAGGGUAAUUUUUCCACAAAUAAGUCCAAGCAUGCACUCAUCACCUCUCGUACCCGGAUUUACAAUCACAGAGAAGACUCAAAUCAUAAGGGAAAGUCCCACGCGGAAGGUUAUGCAAGAUACUUACCUCCAACCGGCUCAAAAUUAACUAGAAACAACGUUUUUGCCACGGGUACUCGACUCCAAAUGGCCUCAAUCUAUUCUAUUCAAUUUCAUAAAGUAAAUAACACUUCACGUAACUGAUCCUAAAAUUAAAUUCUAAGCUUAUACAUGGAAUUGUGUAAAACAGCCAAAACGCCCCUCGAACCCAUGCUUCAGAUCGGAUAAAUUUAUAUUUUCAGAAUCCUCACACUCCCACGAGUCUAACCAUAUAAAAUUAUCCCAAUCCAAUGUCAAAUGCCUAAUAAAACCCCAAUCUCUAGGUCUAAAAGCUUUCCCCUCAAUUUCUACCAACAUUCCAAAAUUAAAGGAUGAAUUUAAGAGAAGAUUCAUGGAAAUCAGUCUAAACCAAGUAAGAAUCACUUACCCAAGUCUCCCAGGUGAAAAUACCAUCAAAAAUAGCCAAGAACCGAGCUCCAAAAGUCAAAAUAUGAUUAAAAAAAAAAGUAAAACCCUCGACUUUGGGUUAUAUUUUAUCUACCUGGGUAUUUGUGCAUCGCGAUUGCGGGAUAAGAGUCGCAAUCGCAUAGAAGAUAUUUGAUGGCUUCCCAGGUUUCUCAUCGCGAACGCGACGAUGAGCUCGCGAACAUGGAGAAGAAAAAUGCGAGGCUUCGGGAUCGCGAGUGAGAGACACGAACGGGAAGAAGAAGUAUGUAGGCUUCGUGAACGCGAAGGGAAAGAUGCGAACACAAAGAAGGAUUUCAAGUUGGUCAGCAACAAUGCAUCGUGAAUGCUAGAUGUUGUUUGCGAUGCAAUGAAGGAUAUCAGAAGCAGCAACAAACAGUUCCAAAAUGGGGGAAAAUGAUCCGUAGCCCAUCCGAAAUACACAUGAGGCUCCCGGAACCCCAUCUAAUUACAAAAAGAAGUCACAUAACCUAAAACGGGAUCGCUUAAGGUUUCAAAUCACACAAAACAACACCGAAACAAUGAAUCUACCCAUAAAUUGAACAUAUGGACUUUCAAAUCCUCAAAUUUCUAAACUUGGGCCAAAACCUACCAAAUCAAACUGGAAUGACGCCAAAUUUUGCAGUCAAGUCCAAAAUGACAUAAUGGAGCUGCUCCAACUCUCAAAAUAGCAUUCUGACCCCAAUAUCACAUAAGUCAACCAUAGGUCAAACUUUUUCAUUAUCCAAGAUUCAACUUUUCCAACUUUCGCCGAAAUUCCUCAAUUUACCCUUAGGACCUCCAAAUAUAAAUCCGGAUGUGAGCCUAAGUCCAUAAUCACCAUAGGAAGAUGUUAAGAUCAUCCACAAUCCAUUCCAGGGUCGUGAAUCCAAAAAUCCAAUUCCGGUCAAACUUUUACCGUUCAACUUCUUAAACUAGAUUCCUUCAUUCAAUUUGACUCUAAACCAUCCGUUGACUGAAUUCCACCAUGCACGCAAGUUGAUACUUAUAUUCUAAUAUUGUUCUAGACUUUACACCACUGAACGGAGCUUAAUUUCUCAAAAUGACCAGUUGGGUCGUUACACUUCAUGUCACAAAUAUCUAUGUAAAAGUAAGUCUAAAUGAUUUGAAUUCCUUUCAACUGACUUAUAAGGAUGUUUAACAUGCUUAGAUUCCACACAUACUUGAAAUUUGAUAUAUCACAUUCAAACUUAGUCAAUACUUCCAAAUUAAUCAUUUUCUGUAAGUUUUUAUAAUUGACAUGAUCCAAAUGUAUAUGUCAUAAUUCAUUUGACUCAAGUAAUUAAGACGGAGCUGAAAUUUUUUUUUUUUUUAACAACCAUUACAUUGACGUUCUUGAGCUGAUUUUUGGAGCAAAAGAUGGUGUAUUUUGGGAAAAAGAAACAAGUGUUUUUCUUUUUUCAUGGCUGUUUGGAGUAUUUUAAUGGAGGUUUCUCACUGGUUUUCAUAGUGAUGAAGCUAGGUCUUAUUGUGGUUUUUUGGAGUUAGUUUGAUGAGUGUUUGGAGGUGAGAGGAGCUGAUAUUUUUGGGGUUGAUUGUAGUAGCUCGUUGCUGCAUUUUUUUGGAGGUUUAUUAGAUUAGCUUUGAUGGAGUUUCAAGAGGUGCUUUUGGAGGAAACAAUGAGAUGGUAAUGGUGGAAAUUUGCCACUCUUUCAUGGAUGAAUAUUUGGGUGUAUUUUUUUUGUUCAAGAACAAAGAAAUGGUUGUUCUUGUUUUCUUUUUUUUUUUGGUCCGCUAGGCAAAUGCCUAGGGUUAGGUUUUAUUAAUAAAAAUAAAUAGAAAAUUACAGCAAAUAGGAGAAAUAAAAUAAGGCGGAUUACACCGGUAAUGUUACCCAUAUAACACAGCUGCCAUAUACCUUACCUUAGCUAUCCUAUUGAGGCAAAUAAAAGCCUCAUAGACUAGCAAGCAUGUAAAAAUAAAGAACUCGCAAGCACUAAGAAUUGAAUGAUUAUCACAGAGUUCAUAACAUACUCUGUGAUGAUAUUACAAAGGAUGAUACUAAUGUGAUAGUAAAAUAAAUAGAUGCAGAAACCAUAAAGGUGCCCUUUUUUCUCUUUUGCUGUGAAAACUUUGAUUUGUAGAAAGUUGUCUUCUUCCACAUAAUUUUUCAAAAAGUCUUCAAAAUUCAUGCUUUAUUCUUGAGACGAUUGGAUAUUGAAAGUAUUUUUUGAGCGACCUGUUUUUGUUUUGCGUUUCUCAUUGGGAGCCUCCUUAUGAUUACGUCAUCAAACGCCCUGACGUCCCGAAUUCUUUCCCUUUGACGAGAGUUCUUAUUUCUUUCACUAUGCAAUGGUGACAAAUCUCCUUUUAUUGAAGCGUCUGCUUGACAUUAGUUUAAAAUGUCCUCUUCUUCCCUUUCUUCAUAUAUGUGUCUUCCUGCAAAAAUUGGGUUUGGUAAUUCCAUCGCUUCCAAGAGUUAUCUUUCCUCGGACGAGAUAACUGAAGCAGUUGUGACGAGAUGCCCCGCUUGUGACUUUGCAUUCUUCUGUUGCUUCUGAUUCUGGCUAGUUGAUGGCAGCGUGGUUGCUAUUCCAUCCCCAACUGAUGUUUCGGCUAAGAUUAGUUGUCGAUUUUGUGCUGUUUCAUUCUUGUUGGGCUUUGAUGUCGCUACAGUUGAAAUAACUGCAUUUGCAUUAUUUCUUGGAACAAAAACUGGAGAAUUAUGGUUUAAGCUACUAUUUUGAGUUGGUGUUUGUGUCAAGACUGCACAGCAGUUCGUAGUUGCAUUUUUCCUUUGGAAUUUUUGCUUGACUGGAUCAUCACUGUUCUCUCCAGUACUAUCCUGAUCAUACUCUUGAUCAUCUUCUUCCGAUGAAAAACUAGCAAAUCCUUCACCCCAGCUCUCCUCAUCAUCAUAGUCUCGUUGGUCUUUCCACAGCUUCGAUUUAAUAACUAGGUCCCUUCUCUUUGGCCAUGUAGGAGUGUGUAUGGUUCGAGAACUUUGAAAUUUGGAUUGUAUUUGCAGAUUGUAUCAAUGACAUAAGCUGAUAUCUUUACCACUGUAUUAUGUGAGCUAUCACCAAGCUGCAAAUUUUUCUUUCAAGAGUUUUCCUUCAUCAUCAUUGACAUUGAGGAGUGCGGCAAAUGAGUUUGAGAUUGAAGGUAAAACUGAAUUGUUUGCUCCGAUGUGAUUUUUAUUUUUGGUUUUUGGAGUUACUGCUUUGUUGUCCAUCGAUGACCAUUGUCCAUCUUCCUUUGUGUGUUGACCAGAAUUUGCUUGAGUUAAGGCAGCAUUAGAGACAGCUUCAGUAGUUGUACCUGACUGAUUUGUUGUUCUGUGAAUACUUUCAUUCACUGCUUAAUGGUUGUCAAAUUGUGAUGCAGCUCGAUCCAUAGAACAAUGCAAAGAAAGUGAAGAUGGUUCAUUUUGUACUGUCCAGUUAGCAGUGUUGGUAUCCUUUGUACCAGAUGUUGCGACUUCCAAUUACAUAACUAUAUUACCAUCCCCUACUUGAGCAUAUUCUGUAUCUGUGGAAUUGGGAUGAUGCCCUUUGCAUAACUCAUUUGAAUUGGAGUGCUUAGAUGUACUCAGAACUGCUGUUUUAUUUAACUCAUUACAUCCUGCAUUGAAAUUCCAUAACUAUGUUGCCAUCCCCUACUUGAUCACAUUCUGUAACUGUGGAAUUGGGAUGCUGCCCUUUGCAUAAUUCAUUUGAAUUAGAGUGCUUAGAUGUACUCAGGACUGCUGUUUUAUUUAACUCAUUACAUCCUGCAUUGAUGUUUGAAGCCUUGAUCAUUUUGAGCAUUGUCGAGCUCUCUCCUAGAUGAACAACAGCAGAUUUGUACCAGCUUUGGCAGGACCCAGAACCUCCAAAUUUGUAUCAUUUCCUUGAUAAACCAGUGUAUGUUUCUCAUUGUUACUAUUGUGUACCAAGUGUUGCUGUUCACACAAUAAUUGUUCAGUCCUUUUUGCAUUGUGAUGUGCAGCCUCAAAAGAUGCAUCAGUCAAUUUUGGCAGCAGAUGUUCUGUGGGAACAUUCAAAUUGGAUGGAACAGUAGACUCAGCAUCCGGCAUUGAAUGAGCUUCUGCAUUUGGAAUGACUGGAUCAAAAUCAAUAUUUUGUCCUUCAUCAGUAAUCACAUUAGGAAACACCCCAGUCAAAUUUGACACCUCCUGUUCACUGUGAACCUUCAACUUGGCUGGGACAGUAGAAGGUUUUUUACACAAUUGUUUAGUAUCAGCAUUGGUCAUUGAAUUACAAUAUGCAGCUGGAGCAAUUGGAACAGCAUGUAAGUAAACAUCAGGCAUUUUUGUCACUGUUAAGUUCUACCCUAAUUCAACAGGGGAAGCAGCAUGAUUUGUUACAGCUUUGGCAGUAUCCAUAACCUCCAAAAUUUUACUAUUUCCUUGACGAAACAGUGUAGGCUUCUUAAUAUUACUAUUGUGUAACACAUGAUGCUGCUCACACAACAACUGUUCAAUCCUGUUUGCAUUAUGAUGUGCAGUCUCAUCAAAUGCACCAGUCAAUUUUGACACCAGCUGUACACUAGGGACAUUGAAUGGAACAGUAGGUGGAUUUUUACACAGCUGUGGUAUAUCAUCAUUCGGGAUUGAAUGAGUUUCUGCAUCUGUAAUUACUGGAACAGAGUCAAGAAAACCAGCCAGAUUUGAAACUACCAGUUCACUGUGAACAUUCAAAAUGGAUGGAACAGUAGCUAGUUUUUUACAAUGCUCUGCAGUAUCUGCAUUCGGCAUUGAAUUUAUUUCUGCACCUAGAACAAUUGGAACAUAAAAAUUAAAUUGUCGUGCAUCAACAUUCAUAUUAGGAGGAACCCCUUCAUUGCUUCGUGCUACAAGAUUGGCAUUUAGGAACUCUCUGGCAUCCCCUCUUAAUUUUAUCAUCUUGCCCCUGCCUUCAGAUUGUCGAUCAUGAGCUGCUUGUUCAUUCCUUUCAUCUGUACUCCAACGACACGAUUUUACUUCAUGACCUUGAUGAUUACAAUACAUACAGUAUUUAGGAAGGUUAUCAAAGAUGAUCCGCUGGUUGUAUUCGACUAUUUUUCCAGAUUUUAUAUCAACUUUCUUGAUCUUUACUUUCUUUGGAUGUUUGUCUAGCAGAUUAACCAAGACUUUUACUCGAGCCGUACUAGGUUUCGUUCGAUCUUUAGUAGCCUUAUCUACUACUAGAGGCUUUCCCACUGCAGCAGCGAUUGACAUUAAAAAAAAAUUUGUGAAGAAAUUUGCUGGCAGUUCAGGAAAGGAUAUCCAAACAACAGCUUUUGACGUUUCUUCACGUCGAUUAAAUCCCACUGUCCAUGGGAAUGUCCUGAAGAAGUAGUCAUCUCCUUUCGCCUUAACAUAGCAUGUUGUUCUUGAAAAGACAUUCGCAAAAUCUUCAAAUAGAUCAAAACUUACCAGAAUAUGUCGAUAUUCUAGCUGCCCUAUAUUGCAAUUACCUUUGACAUCGAGUUGCUUCGGUAAGAUCUGUCUCAACUCCUGAAGCUCGGGUUUUCCAUAAGAGAAUUUAAUCACAACUGCUUGUUGAAAACCUUCCUCCUUGGUGAAUGAAUUCGUCUACUGUGAAUUCAACAGUAGGUAUUCUAUUCUCAACCGUUACUGGACAGAGUUCAAAAUUCGAUUUUUUUGCGGCAGAAUGCUGUCGAACAAGUUGCGAUGCAUAAGUCUGUUUUGGAUUUAGAACUUUUUGAUUUUCCGUAUGGUUUUGAUUAUCCUCUCCCACAGCACAAAGCUGGGGAGAGGGAGAAACUUCCAUAGUUGCGAUGAUUGUCAACCAGAAUCCAUCACUAACAUUCUAUCGGAAAGAAUGAAAUUGCUACAGUAAUUCGGAAAAAAAGAUUUAGGAUGUAGGGAAAUUGGCUAUAUAUUUGAGGAGAAAAUCUAUUGGGGAUUGUUCGCAAAGAGAAGGGGAUGUCUUGAAACCAAAAUUGUGGCAAUCGACGAACUGAUUCUGGCGAUUUUCUUCAGAUGAAUAGUGACGGAAUACUAUUGACGAAACAAUAUCGCUGGGAGAGAAUCCUUCUGAAAAAGGUUACAAGCCAACAAAAAAUUGCUGCUCUUGUUUUCAGAAGAAGGAGUUGCGCCUUUUUUUCCUUUCUUCUUUUUUUCCCGUAGCCUAUUCAAAACUCGCUCGGGCAAUCAGGGCUCCAAACCAAAUAUACAAACAAUCUCAAAAACAUCCCAUGGACUUAUUCGAGCAAUCAAUUUGCCAAAAUAACAUCGUAAACGAAGAAUCAAACCCCAAAAUCAACACUUUUGAUCAAACUUCUUAAACUAAUAACUUCAGAUAUUUAUGUGCGAAACACGUCAAACGAUGCCCGAUUUUGACCAAAUUCCACAAAAAGCACUUAACGCAUAUUAAAGACCUGUACCAGGCAUCGGAACCAAAAUACGAGCCCGAUAAUUAUAUUUUCUUUAAUAUGAUGAUGACCCCUUUGGGUCGUCACAUCCUCCACCUCUAAAAAACCGUUUGUCCUCGAAUGGAUAAAAGAAAGAAGUACCUGAGUCGGGGAAUAGAUGGGGUUAACGGCUCUGCAUAUCAGACUCAGACUCCCAGGUCAAUGCCUUAGGAGGCUGACCUCUCUACUGAACACGCACUGAAGGAAAACUCUUCGACCUCAACUGUCAAACUUGCCGGUCUAAAAUAGCCACCGGCUCCUCCUCAUAUGAUAGAUCCUUUUCCAAUUGGACAUUGCUGAAAUCUAAUACGUGGGUUGUAUCGCUUUGAAUCCACUACAGCAUGGACACAUGAAAAACUGUAUGUACGGCGGACAAGCUAUGCAGCAAGGCAAGUCUAUAAGCCACCUCUCCCACGCGGUCAUGAAUCUAAAAUGGGCCAAUAAACCUAGGGCUAAUCUUGCCCUUUUUCCCGAAUCUCAUCACGCCCUUCAUAGGCGAUACACGGAGCAAUACUCGCUCACCAACCAUGAAAGCAACAUCUUUGACCUUUCGGUAUGCAUAAAUAUUCUUCCUGGACUAAGCUGACCGAAGUCUAUCAUGAAUGAUCUUGACCUUAUCCGAGGCCUCCUAACUAGAUCUGUAACCGAGCCUCUACCGGCUCAAACCAUCCGACUGGGGACCGUCACUGCCUAACAUACAAUGCCUCAUACGAAGCCAUCUGAAUGUUAGACCGGUAGUUGCUGUUGUAGGCAAAUUCUGCUAAGGGCAAGAACUGGUCCCACGAGCCUCCAAAAUUAAUAACGCAGACGCAGAGCAUAUCCUCAAGAAUGUGAAUAGUCCUUCAGACUGACCGUCCGUAUGGGGAUGAAAUAUUGUACUCAAUUGAACCUGGGUGCCCAACUCCUGCUGUACCGCUCUCCAGAAAUGCGAGGUAAACUGCGAACCUCGAUCCGAAAUGAUAGAUAUCGGAACCCCAUGAAGGUGAACGAUCUCCCUGAUAUAAAUCUCAGCAAAUCUCUUGGAGGAAUAGGUGGUGGAAACGGUAAUAAAAUGUGCUGAAUUGGUCGGCCUAUUAUCACCUCCUUUUUACCCGGCGCAAAGGCGUAGUGGAGUUUUUCCAAUUAAAGGACAAUCGAAACGGGAUUUAAUAACUAAGAUUGAGAGUCGCCACUUGGGAGAUUUAUGGUGUCCCAAGUCACUUGUUUUAAUCCUGAAUCGAGGAAAAGAAUGACUCUGUUUAACGGUCAACACACCAGAAAUCCGGAUAUGGAAUUCUGUUAACCCGGGAGAAGGUGUUAGGCAUUCACAAAUUCCGCGGUUCUAGUACGGUCGCUCAACUAUCAUAUUUAGCUUAUUUAUCUGGUUUUUAUACGAUUAUGAACUUAUAUGCAAGUGAUAGCACUUUUGCCGCUUUUAUUAUUAUUAUUUUUAACAAGAAUUAUAACAUCGUAAAAGUACAUCUCGAACCACGUCACAUCAAUGUACCCGAAGUUACCGACACAUUUCAAAUCUGUUGAGAUUUGGAUUUAGGUCACAUAAAUGUGCACCCGAGUUUAGGGAGAUAACAUUAUUAAAUACGCGCCUAAAGAUACUAAUGCAUUAUUAUGUUGAUAAGACCGUGAAAUUUUCUAAAUAGCAUGUCCCAAAAUCUAAGCAUUUUUAACCAUCUAUUGGGGGCCUCGCGAAUUGCGAUUUAUUUGGCGAGGCUCAUCUCGUUUAUUUAAAAAGGACAAUCAUAAAGUGACUACAUCUUCUAAUAAAUUCGUCUCUAAAAUAAAAGAGAAAAGUCCUAAUACAUUACAUGCUUGAAAAGGUCGUAUCUUAUUUAUCAGAUUAAGACAAGUGCAACUGGAAAAUUGCAAUCAAACUUGCGCAAAGGGAGAUUAUUUAGUACCUUAUUCUAUAAGCCAAUAUUACUAAAAUUGAAAUUAUGAUUAGAAUGUAAAAUUGACAAACAAUAUUAUCAAAAUAAACUAAUUAUUCUCUAGCAAAAUUACAUUAACAUUAUUGGAUGAAUUGAUAUAUUUGGAAUUAACCACAUGAUUUCAGAACCAUUUGGGCCGAAUUUUUAUAACUGUUGAACUUAAAACUAUUAUUUGAGAAUUACUAACCCUUUUCUAAUUAAACAUCAUUCAUGCAAAAGAAACAAUGAUCAUUCAAGUUUACGCCACAUACUUAGAUUGCGUGUUCAAUUCCUGUGACUUAUUAACACCAACUCCUAAGUUACCAACGCCUGUCAUAAGUAAUGAACUCAAGACAUACUAAUUUUGACAUUGAAGCUUAUUCUAAUGAUAUCAAAAAUGGCAAUUACUUAGGAUCUAUGAACUUACUGAUUUCAAUCUAAUAGCACGUGAAAACUAUUUCUUAUUUUUAACUUCAAACCAUGGAAUGCUAACAUACGAACAAAUAGUAACUACUGCUGAUAACUACAAUCUAACAGUCCAUCACAAAUAUGAUUUUAAUUAGUCCAAAUUAGCUUGAAUACAGUCCAUCUAUACAAAGCAUGUACUUAUUUCAGAGAACAAAACUAGAGACAUGCAUCCUCCACUGUCUACUCUACUCAACUAGCUUGGAUGCCUAAAUUUCAGCCUGUCAUUUAAUUGCAACUUCUCAAUUCAGAAUUUCAUCGGCUUGAGUUUCAAGUGUGUACCAGGAAAUGGAAUAAAAUGAAGAAGAAAGAGGAAUGAUCAGCAGUAGUAGUAACACAACAGUAAAAUAACAGCAAUAGCCCAGCUAUUCUUCAACCCCAAGAAUGAUUCAAAUGACCCAAGAAAACAACGUAAAUCCCAACAGAUUGACUCACAGAAUACCAGAAAUCCAACCAGCAACUACUUAAACCAGAACAACAAGUUCAACUCUAAAAUAAUCAGUGAACCAAGGUUGUGUCCCCUUUAAUUGUGCCAAUUAAAACGCACUUAUUCCUAAGCGAUUUUAUCAAAACAGGCUUAAAGCCUUGAGUCAUUGGUAUUUACUUCUACCAAACUCUAAACCACUUUCCCAAGCAAAGCAAGAAUUUAACGGCUUUUGUUAAUGCUUGCAACCACCAACAAUGAAUGAAGAACAAGAAGUAAAUAAACAUCAACCAUCCAUUAUAUAUAUAUAUUCAAUUUCAAACACCCAUUUAGGGUCCACAACCUUAGUAUUUAAAACUAGCUACUCAUGCUAACACAAAAACCAACUAAUAAUAAGUGUCAUAAAUGCUUACAAAGAGAAAAAGGGAGAAAAUUAAAGUCUUGGAGUGUAUCUAAAAGGUAAGACAAUAUGUUCCCACAAAAGUCUCUUAAAACUAUUUAUAGGUUGACCAAAUUCGGGACAAAAAAUGGACAAAUUUUCCCUUCCAGGUUGCGUCUGCGACCGCAGACUUGUCGAAGAACAGGUCUGCGGUCCGUGUCUUGAAAAGCCGCUUCACAGAUCCAAAAACCUAUGUGUCAAGCCUUCAUCGCAGGUUCAAUUUGCGUUGCGCAUUUGAGUUAUGCGACAGCAUAUUUGCAUCGCAUCUUUGUCCUUGAGUUUCUUCUUGUUCAUUUUGCGGCUCAUCUGCGGUCUGCAUGUAGAUUCUGCGAUCGAAGAACACGCCGCAUUCUUGACGUGAUUUUUGGCUCCAUACCAUGUAAAGCUCUGCGAUGUGAGGGACGAGUCUGCGGUCCGCAUGUGUGUUCUGCGACCACGUACUAGACCGCAUUUUGGCAAUUUGUGCAAAGUCAUGCUCUUUUCCUCUCUUUUUGCGUCCAUUUUCAUAUCCUUGGUGUUCCCUUCCGCUUGUGCUGUAAGAACAACAAAUCUACAUGAGUAUUAGUUAUAAUUGCAUUAAAACAAGAUAGAAUCUAAGCAAUUAGUAUUGAAAUGCGCCGAAAUUCUUCGGCACAUCACCUAGUGGCCCCAAACCAUUAUGUCUUGCUCCCCACUUACUUAUUAGUUUGAUAGCAUUUAAUUCCCUACUUUCAGGUUGCUAAUAUUAACCUAAUUCCCUAAUAUUUUCAUUCCCAAAUUGCCCCUGAAACCCCCUCACUAUUAAUUCCCCAAACCAAUAUGUUCAAACCUAAAGAGAAUUACCUAAAACUAAUUCUAAUUAACAGCUAUAACCAAUCUUCCUGACCAAAUUCAACCAUUGAUUCAUUAAGCAAAAGAUCAAGAUCAAAAUGGCAUCAAAACAAUGAGUUGAUCAUAUUGAGAAAAGAACAAACAGAGAGACAAUAAGCUAAACUGAAAUAGUAUAAAUGGAGGAAUGAGCUUAUCACGUGAAAAACUAAAGAACAGGGAUGGCAUAGCAAUAGGGAACGGGCAAACACAACUCUAACUCAAAUAUACAUACAAGAUGCAGCAUUGUUGAAAGUAUAUUUGACACGGAAUUCCCUUAAGCGAGGAACACAAACAGAAACACAGCUUAACAAGGACAGUUCGUAGAGAUCAAAAAAACUACAAAAGAUGACCUAAUUGAUGAAAUUUAAUUGAUCAACUACAUAGUUUAUAACAUAUAAUCACCAGUUAGAAAAUUUGGACCAAAGAAAAAGGUCCGUAAAAGGGGGAGGAGAAAAUAGCUGACAAAAAUAAUGAAAUUAAUACAACAGUACAAACAAAUAACAAUAUACCCAAAAAUAGAACAGACAAAAGAAAGGAAAAAUACCUCAUGAACUCAUAAACCAUACGGACUCGACUUGAAACUCUCACUUGAGACUUUUUGGGGUAAAAAUUGACUUUUAAUCGAGUGUUCUCGUCGACUAAAGUCGAUUGAGGCUCUCGUUUCUUUUAUUUUGGACAAAUUCCAGCCUGGGUCUUGUCUAGGGUUUAUACAGUUCGAUUUGGGAUUCGAAAGAUUCCGACAUGAUUCGAAGGGAACCAGUGGUGGUUCAGAGGUGAGGGACGCCUAGUGGAUAUCUGGUGUGAGUUUGGGGUGGAUUGGGUUUGGUUCAUGGUUUUCCGAAUCUUCGAUUACAGAUUCGAGAAGCUGGGGGGAAGAUUCGAAGUAACGGUUAAUGGAUUCGUGUUCAGGGUGGUUAGAAGUACCUAGGGUGUUGGUUUGGUUACUGGCAGCGUCGAUUCCGCCGGGUUUCAGGCGGAUGAAUAGGGUGGCGGCUAGGGUUUAGCCCUUGAUUGUCUCUGAGAGAGAGAUGAUGAAUAGUGGAGUGGGGGGAGUGUGUUUUAUUUAGGGGGCUGGGGUGAGAUAUGGGGAUUAUAUAUUGAGGGAGGUGGCUUGAUCUUGGUAGUUGGAUCAAGCAUGAUCAACGGCCUGGAUCAUUUACUUAAGGGGAAACGGUGUCGUUUUGGUUAAGUGGGGAAUUGGGUCAGUCCGGGAAAAAUAGGUCGGGGUUGGAGAGAUGAUCUCGACUGUUGGAUCAUGAUCAAUGGAUGGUUGAGAUCUCUUGGCCAUGGAACGACGUUGUUUUGGACGUCUGAGAGGUCUGGUCAAUUGGACCGGGUGGAAGCGUUUUGGGCCUGAUUCAAAGGCUGUUUGGGACACCUCAGUUUCAAGUUUUCUCAUUAUUUUCAUUUCCUUAAUUUCUAAUUAAUAAAACCAAAAUUCUAACUUAAAAAAUUAUAAAAUAAAAUUAGCUAAAAUACUAAUUAACCUCUAAUAACAAUUAUCACACAUAAUUAAUACCAAUUUAAAGUAAAAUAACACAAUUUGACUUUAAAUGCUAAAAAUGCAGAUUACAUUAUUUUUGUGAUUUUCUCAUUUUUGUAAGGAACACUUAAUUACUCCUAUUUGUAAAAUUAAAUCUUAAAUGUAAAUGCGACAUAUUUUUUGUAUUUUCACUUAUUUAAAUAAGUAAACAUGCACACACAGAUGCAAACAAUAAGAGAAAACUAACCCGAAAUUCAGGAAAAAUGCAAACAACACAAAGCUAUUUUAUUUUGAAUUUUUUGGAGUAAACCUCAUAUAGGGAAAAAAUCAUGUGCGCACAACUGUCCCUAUUUGUCCGGAAACACGAAGAGUUUUGGUACAAAGAUAAAGUGAGCAGAUAAAAGCGAUUUUUUCCUGUUGGAAUACUCUGUGUGAAGCAUUUUUUAAAAAACUGAACCUUUGCUUCAAAGGUUUCCUACAUAUCCCUGGCUAAUAGGGAAUCAAGUUUGUGUAGUUUGGGAAGUUUGGGGUUGCUGGGACUACCAUGAAGCUGUGGUUUCACAGUUACUGUUGUUGCUGCUGCUACUGCUGCUUAUUGGCCUCCUUAUUACAUCUUGCUAAAAGAAAAUAAAAGUUAGACUAAACUAUAGAUUACAAAAUCUUAUCUAUCUUCAACACUUGCUCUUGUAGUCUUCUCUUGAUUUGCCAAACUAGAACUACUGAUUUUCUUCUUGUGAGCUUCGAAUUAUUUUCCCUUCGAAGCUUGAACUGCCUUCUUUUGACUUCAGAACUUGAAUUUAGGAAGGGGAUUUUUGUUGCAAUCCUCUGCUCUAUGACUUUGAACUUCAAUGUAUUCCUCUAUUAUAUGGGCGGGCUUCCAACUUCAAAACUUGAAAUAUAAUUCCUCCAUUCUACGGGCGGGCUCCUGACUUCAACAACUUAAAAAGGUAAUGCCUUUGUUAUACAGGCGGGCUCCCGACUUCAAACUGGAAAUAUAAAGAAUGAAAUGAUUACCAUCUUAGGUGAAAAUUCAUCAGUCUAAGAAUUCCAUCUUAGGUGAAAGUUCCAACAUACUAAGAUUUUAUAUGUACCUUAGGUGAAAAAUUCAUCAGACUAAGAUUUUCAUAUUAGGUGAAAGUUUCAACGGACUAAGAUUCUGACUUUAGGAGAUAACAUCAGACUAGGUCCAUUUUUGUGUGAUCUCAGGAUAAAGAUUCAUCGGACUAAGAUUUUGACUCUAGAAGAUAAAUCCUCAGACUAGUUUCAUUUAUGUGAUCAUAGGAAAAGAUUCAUCGGAUUAAGAUUUUGACUCUAGGAGAUAAUUCAUCCGACUAGGUCCAUUUAUGUGAUCUUAGGAGAAAGAUUCAUCGAACUGAGAUUUUCACUCUAGGAGAUAAUUCCUCAGACUAGGUCCAUUUAUGUGAUCUUAAGAAAAAUAUUCAUCAGACUAAGAUUUUGACUCUAGGAGAUAAUUCAUCCGACUAGGUCCAUUUAUGUGAUCUUAGGAGAAAGAUUCAUCGAACUGAGAUUUUCACUCUAGGAGAUAAUUCCUCAGACUAGGUCCAUUUAUGUGAUCUUAAGAAAAAUAUUCAUCAGACUAAGAUUUUGACUCUAGGAGAUAAUUCAUCCGACUAGGUCCAUUUAUGUGAUCUUAGGAGAAAGGUUCAUCGGACUAAGAUUUUAUCUUUGUCUUAGGUGAAAAAUUCAUCAGACUAAGAUUUUCAUCUAGGUGAAAGUUCCAACAUACUAAGAUUUUUAACCUAGGAGAUAAAUCAUCAAACUAGGUCCAAUUUUUCGAAUCCAGAUUUUCUUAAUAUCUCAAAUUCAGACUUCCUUUCUUUUUUUCAAAUUCUGUCUUCCCUUCUUAUUUUCAAAUUCUGCCUUCCCCCUUUUUUAAAAAAUAAAACUAGGCCUUCUUUUCUUUCCAAAUUCUACAUUCCCUUCUUUUCAAAUUAUCCUAGGAGCAAAUUCGUCAAACUAGGAUUUUUAUCCUUAUCUUAGGUUAACAAUUCAUCAGACUACGAUUUUCAUCUUAGGUAAAAGUUUCAACACACUAAGAUUUUUAUCUUUAUCUUAGGUAAGAUAUUAAUCAAACUAAGAUUUUUUAUCUUAGGUGAAAGUUUCAACAGACUUGUCGACGCCCCCCUUUUUCUCUCCCGAAGGAAAGGAAUCGGGUUCGACAUUAUAGGCGGUGACUCUUUUAUCCCCUUUUGGGGAGAAUUUAGGAUAUGGAGUUUGAAGAGUCACCACCUAAUUAUUGUAGUGCAUUAGGACAUUUUUUGAGAAAAGAAGAAUGAUUCGAAGGAAAACCAGGUAAGGGCUUGAAAUUAUCUUGAGGGGAAGGUGUUAGACACCCCUCAAGAUCCAUUAGUGUGGUUCCCGACCUUGCUUAGAUGUGACUUUAAGAAGAGUAGAAAUAGACAAGCAAAGUUUUCAUAUAAGAAAUACAAGCAAGUUGACAAUUUUGGAAGAAAGAUGGCACAAGCAAAAGAGAAUUUUAAUGAAAACAUUUAAAUUAAGAAAAAUUAAAGAGGGUCCUAGGUUUAUCUAUAAUAUGGAUCAUUCGAUUCAAUAUCCCGCACAUGUUCCCGAAGAGGGUUCGCCUUAUCAUAUCAACGCAUCAUCAUCAUCUCCGUAUUCUACCUUUCCCACCCUGUUAAGGUAUUUAAGCGCGUUUUAGUCUCGUUUACUUUUUGCAUGCUAAUACUCGUCCCGACCUAUUAGUCCCGGGGUAUUUGGACUUCUAAUCCUAAAAGGGGAGAAAGGGAUGAGGGAAUAUGUGGAGUUUAAAGGUAAAAUUCUAAGGCGUUAACCAAUAAACAAAUAGCACAUAAGGGACGUAAAACAAACAUACAAAGGUUGCAUAUAAGCCCCUUAAGCCAUACAGCAAUUAGUUUAGCAUGACUUGCAAUUACUGAUUUGGUCUUAUGCUUAGAAAUGAUAGUGGACAGAUUAGUUUAACACAUAAAGUUGGAUAAUAAGUCUACUUUGAGCCCCUCGGGUCCAGUUUGUUGGAACUUAAAGUGUUUUAAAACCAGUGAUUUCAGAAAAUGCUAAUAAUAGACAAGGAUCUGUAAAGAAGAGUUUUGGAAAUAGGAAAUUGAACCUUGCAGAAGUUCAUAAAUGGCUUGCGAAAUAGCCGAUCUACUUAAAUAAAAUCGUACAAGAAAAAGUUUUCGAAAAGCAUUGAAAUGCAAGUUUAGGCAGAAAACCAAAAUGUUGAUUUCAGAAAGAGGAAAGUUGGAAUUUGAAAAGAGUCUAUCGGUUUAAAAUAGUGCAAAAGGCUUGACUUGGCCAGAUUUCAAAAAAUAGACAGCUUUGGACAAAUUUUAUUGAAUGUUUUUAACAAAUUAGGCGAGUUUGAACCCUAUAGGCAUGAUAUCUAACUCAUUAUUUGCUGUUACUUUUAGAACGUUUAAGGGGACCUACUGUUUGCCUAACGUUUUUAUGCAGUUCUUAUAGACAUGAUUUCUAUUAUGCUUGCGAUAAAAAUCCCAUAGGCAUGAUUUCUAGAUGGGAAGCAACAUUGAAAUUCUAUGGACAUGAUUUCUAUAUGAUUAGCAAUAUUGAAAUCCAAUAGGUAUGGUUUCUAUAUGACUAACAGUAUUGAAAUCAUACAUGCAUGAUUUCAAUUAUGUUUGCAAAAAAUCCUAUAGGCAUGAUUUCUACCCAUUGAUUCAUGUAACAAUAUAAACCCAUCCCACACCCUUUUACUACAUCACCAAAUUCUUUUACAAAGUUUGUUACAAAAGUGGAAGGAAAAUACUAAGAGAAUAAAUACAUCAAGGCUACAAUGGACCCGAGGAAGCCCAAAGCAACCUUAAUUUCCAACACAUGUAUUUUACCAAAUCCGGGCUCCAGAUUCCAAGGCUUUCUCUUAGAGUGUUUCAAAGUUCCAAUGACUUUCAGGAAGCCCAGGCAAUGCAUACACGCUAAAGAAUGAUUAUAGUGCAGUGUGUGGAAUUACCAGUCCUUAGGCAUCCAAGUUUAGAGGGAACUCUAGGGUCCCUAAGCAUGGCUUACCAUAGGGGGCAGAACUUAAAUAACUAAGAAUAAGUUAAAAGUGAGGGGACUAGAGGAAACCAAAUCAAAGGGUGGUCAUACCCAGCCAUGGUUAAGACUAGCACACCAUGGCUUACCAGAGGGGGGUAGGACUUAAAGAACAAAGAGUAAGUGUAAAAGUGAGGGAAUUAGGAGAGCCCAAAGCUAAAGGUGGUCAUACCUAGCCAUGAAUGGGACUGGAACACCCCUAACCAUUUACAUGGCUUGAGCAAACAAGAGCAGACUUGAGAAAGUCCGACUUAGACCUGUAUGGUGUUUAGGACACCACUAGACCUGAGUCAAGUUCAACACAUAAUAGGGGUAAGGGAAUUGGACUGAUUUGAGUAUAGGUUUAGAGCAACCUGGUUCUAAACUAGGGGUGGCAAUGGAGUGCCACACUAGUCUAAAACAAUACUCACACACAAAGGGGUUAGGGAAAGGGGAUUACACGAAAGCAUUUGAAACAAACAGAAUUAAGCAAAAGGGACUUGGUGGAAGGGAUGUACAUGCUGAAGUUUAAUUGCAUAAUAUAAGAAAGUCAAGUACAGACAUGCAUGUGNNNNNNNNNNNNNNNNNNNNNNNNNNNNNNNNNNNNNNNNNNNNNNNNNNNNNNNNNNNNNNNNNNNNNNNNNNNNNNNNNNNNNNNNNNNNNNNNNNNNNNNNNNNNNNNNNNNNNNNNNNNNNNNNNNNNNNNNNNNNNNNNNNNNNNNNNNNNNNNNNNNNNNNNNNNNNNNNNNNNNNNNNNNNNNNUGAAAGAGAUAGGUAAACACAUAGUUUUGGAGAUGGUAUUUAAAUCAUGGACCUACCAGUUGAAAUUGUCAAACAGUAGAACAAGAAAAUAGAAUCUCUAUAGUUUAGCCUUGGCUUUCAUCUGGCUAAACACAAGCAGCGACACAAGUAGCGGAAAAGAGAUGAGAGGGUUUAGUGUGUGUGUGUUGAACUAAUUGUUCGUGUUUUUGAAGUAAAAGGGGUGGGGGGUUUUAUAGUUUGAUAAGUCAAGAAAAUAACUUCAGUACCAAAUCAUAAUCAAUCAGGAGAAAAGACUCCCUUUAAUUAAGGACUCGGACUUGAGGAAAACAAACAUUGCUCCAUUAAUGGAAAGAAAAUCAAGAACAAGUUGCAAAAUAAAGGGUAAAUACAUAUAGAGUUUUAAAAAGAUAAACGAUUUUAAGAAAGUAAGGCAAGAAUAGAAUCACCAAUCACAUAGUAAAUUAAGGAAACAGGUAUUCGAAUUUGUAUUGAAUUUAGUCAGAAAGUAGGUCCAAAUCAAAGAAUCAAAUAAAUUCGUAAAAAAUCAAUCUCCCAAAAUUAUGGUUAUUUUGAAAGGGAAAGUAUGACUAUAAAAGAGAUGCACAAAUUUAAACAUGAGAGGCGGGCAUUAGCAACAAUGGUCAUGUAAUCAGCAAGCAGAAAAACACAUGCAUGAAAGGAAAAUAAAAAUUCUUGCAAUGCUUAGCAAGAACCACAAGUAUGAGGCGAGUUAAAACAGUUAGGGUUUUGAAAUUAAACAGGCAGCACACCAUUACAUACAAUGCUCGGAAAAUCACCCAAAAUUUAGGGUUUUCAUCACAUCUCGAGUGUAAAGAAAAAAUCAUUCAGAGAGAACAUAAACAUUUAUGAAAAGCACAAUGAGAGCAAAGAACACAGUAAAGAAACUACUCGGAAACCCUAGAAACACAUGGUGAAGAAAAUACAUGGAAAUCAUAGUAGAAAUACUUCGGAAUUACAACAAAAAUAAAAGAAAGCACAAUAGAGCAAAUAAAACAAAGAAUAAUAGAAACCCUAAAUUUUAAGAAAAUGAACAGUUUGAAAACAAAAAUUGGUAAAAAAUGUGGAAAACACUUUGAAACAUUAAAAUAACGUAUAUCUGAAGUACAUCCUAAAGAGAAACAAAGAAGAAAACCUUGGAGAUUUAGGGUUUCAAAGAAAACUCUAGAGAAUGAGAAAGCCUAAAACUGACUGAUUUUGAGUUGAAAAUGGACUCACAAUGCUAAGACUCGCCGGAGAGAGACCAUACAUGGCUGUAAAACUCAAGUCGGAGGACCUCUGAGCCGGUGGUCUUCAAGAUAGGGCUUCAAUUUUUGAACAAAGGGGGUCAUAGAAGGGACCGGGGGUGAGUAUUGGUUGCAUGAAGCCUGGGAGGCCAUGGUUUCCGGUGAAACAACGUCGGAAAGUGGUCGGAGAAGGGCUAGGGUUUUAGGGGGUUGAGAGAAUUUGGGGAUGAAUGGGUUUCAGGGCGGCUCGUUUGUGAGAAGUGAUUCAUGUUAGGGGUGUCUUUGGUUUAAUUAAGGGAAGGUGAGACGUGGACCGUUGAUUAAAACAAUCAACGGUCCUGAUUUAAAAAAGGGUUCUAGGCGGGUUUAUUUAAUAGCUUUAGGUCGGGUUAUUUAUGAAAUUAGGUAGUAUAAUUUGGGGGUUGAUGAAUUUACUCUGAUGAAUUAUUCACCUAAGAUUUUUAUCUUUAUCUUAGGUGAAAAAUUGAUCAAAUUAAGAUUUUCAUCUUCGGUGAAAGUUUCAACAUACUAAGAUUUUUAUCUUUAUCUUAGGUGAAAAAUUCAUCAGACUAAGAUUUUUUAUCUUAGGUGCAAGUUCAACAGACUAAGAUUUUCAUCUUAGGUGAAAGUUUCAAUAGACUAAGAGUUUUAUCUUUAUCUUAGGUGAAAAAUUCAUCAAACUAAGAUUUUUUAUCUUAGGUAAAAGUUUCAAUAGACUAAGAUUUUUAUCUUAAUCUUAGGUGAAAAUUUUAUCAGACUAAAAUUUUCAUUUUAGGUGAAAGUUUCAAAAAACUAAGAUUUUUAUCUGGGAGGAAAAUUCAGGGCAUGGUUUAAUGCACGAUAGCAAGAUAAAUGAAGGCAAAGAUUUGAGAACCUACCUUUUGCGGCUCUCCUUUCUUUUGCAUUUUCUCUUUCACCCACUUUUAUCUUUUUUUUCUUUCUUUAUCUUUUAACUUGUGUUAUCUUCCUUCUUCAAAGGAUACUUCCCUUAAAGCUCAUGUCGUCUUCCCUCGAAACUGCUGGGGAAUUAUUUAUUUACCUACUGAGAAUUAUACUGCUGGGGGGAAUAUCCUUUCUUCCACUUAUUUUUUUUCUUUUUUUUUUCAAAACUGUUUCCUUCAAAACUUUUAUUUUCUCUCCACAUUCCUGGAUAACGUUGUUGAGGAUAACACUGAUGGGGAUAUUCAUUUCUUCAAAACUGAUGUUUCACUCUUCCGAACACUGCUGGGGAUGACACUGGCCUUUUGCUUUUUCUGAACACAAGUUUCCUCCCUUUGUUUUGUCCGCUGGGAAUAUAACUUCCCUCAUUAAAACUUGUUAUCCUGGGGAUAACAUUGGUUCAAAGACCACUACCCCAGUUUGAUAAUAUUCCUUAUGGCCUUCCUUUCCGCCAUCAAUUCCAUUUUCUUUUACCUGCUUUAAAUCAAUGAAAAUUUAUUAGUUUUAAACUGGUAGGAGGUUGUGCUACUCCUGCUGGGGAUGAUUUUUCCCUUUCUUCUUCCCUGCUCUGCGUUCCAUUACACUAUCAAAACUUGCUGGGGAAGAUAUUAUUUGCUCGUCUUAGAACGACUUGCCCUGUUUUGCAUCGUCCAGCCAUCUUGAAACUUGGUUGACAACUUCCGGCCUUCUCGACGACUCCGUAUUCACAAUCCUUUCACCGUUGUUUCCCACUUGUAUCCUGACCACUCACAUUCAUAUGACAGUGACUCUGCUUGAGGACUCUUGCAUGUUUACUGAUGAACCACUUUAUUCAUUCAUCAGUGUCACUGAAAUACUUUUUCUACUAGGGACAUCCCUCUUCUUUGUGGCAUAGCUAGGGAAUUGGCAUUUCCUCUAACCUUUGAGUCUCUUAUGAAUCUCUUAUUUAUGCCCAUCGCUCUCAGCCUCGUUCCUCCUUGAUUUGUCCACUGGCCUUGGUGUUGAGGUCUAUAACCUUUGAUUUUUGUGGGGAUAUCCUUCUUGACACUGACCCAUCCCUUUGUCAAUCUCCUCUUCCAACACCUUUCUAUAUCAUGCCCCGGGGAAUACGAGCAAUAUGCGCACCUUUGAGAUAAAUCACCCUUCUUGACGAACGGUUUGGCAUUUUUAUCAGGAUCGGCUUCAACCUGCCCAACUACUUCAACUUUUGGAACAAACUGGCAUAUGACCCUCCAAUAGGGGUGAGAGCCUUUUCUCGUUUCAACAACCUCUCAUUCCUAAAUAUCAUAUUUGGCCUAAAACCUGACCCAUCGGGUUUCUGGUAUUCUCGUGUGGGUGGAUAUGAAUUUUGUGGAGCUGGGUACUUAGAAAGUGAAGUAUGACUUUGGGAGUCCCGUGGAGAGAAGUAAUGGCAUGGAGAAUUACAAGGAUAUCAACGGGGUCGAUAUAGAAACUGAGUUCCUUUAUCAAGGACGACCACUGGACCUUGUCGUUGGGGAGGUUCAACACCAUCUUUCCUUUUCAUGGGAAGACUAUCCCGAACAACUUGCUCAUUCCAUCUGAGACAGAAUUUCCCAACAUCUUCUUUAGGCUUCUCCUCUAUAUCUCAUAUAGAGGAGUGGUCCGGGACGAUGUCUGACGGAAGAUUGACGGAAAUACUAGGGUGAUCGGAUGCCAAAGUUCGAGUAAGGACAUCAUCGGAGAAAUCAGGUGGUAGCGGUAUGGGUGCCUUCCCAACCAUCCAUGCCUGAUACAUGUCUGCCACAUGCUGUCUCAACAUUUUUACCUCUCCUAGCAACCCGUUGUCUUGUUCAACCAGCUGUAUUCGGGCAUAGGUACCAACCCACUCAGUUCUGUUGUUUUCUGCCAUUGUCUUUUGCCUUUGUGCUAGAGGGAAGCGUUAGUUCGGUAUCACAAACCAACCACCUCAACUUUCUUCGCAAUUCAAAACAAACAUGUUAGAAUGGACUUAGUCGGUCCUCAUUAUUAACAACAUUUCCAUUUUUUUUCCUUUUCCAUUUUUCAUUUCUUUUUGCUUUUUUGGUAGUGGUUGAAUCUUAUGAAGAUUACCUACGUAUCAUGACCCCGCAUGAACCAGACCUUGGUUAGUUCGGACAAAUAGACAACAUCAAAUAUUUUUUGGGAUUUCCCAUUUUUUUAAUGAAACAAACUUGAUAACAAAGGUUUAAAAACUGAUCAUACUGGCAGACUCUGAUGAAAAGACGACCUAUAGACUUGAACAUCAAACAAACCACAUAGUCUAGUAAAAAGAAAUUCAAACUAAAAAAUAGACUGGAAGCUUCCUUUCCCUAUAUGCCAAAUUUAACCAAAUGGCUUUUUUUACAAAUGUAGCCCCUUCUCAGUUUCACAUGAAUUUUGAGGCCGAGAAGGAUUAUUUUAUGAAAUUUCAUAGCCUUUCGACAACUGUCUAAGGCUAUCUUGGCAAGAACGGUUUAAGACAUUGCCGAAGCUGGCUCAACUUAGUUUGACCAAAAAUCUAAAUGGUAUUCAUUUACCCACUGACUCUUUUUCUCGUAUUUUAAAUUAAAAUAAAAGCCUGGUAAUGCAAACAUGGACUUUUAGCGCAUCGGGGACAUACAUUUUAAGGUUGUGUGGGUCAAUCGACCAAUAAUCUAAAAACAUGAUCAAAGGUGGCCAUUUAUACAAAGUCGACCUUCCGGCGUCCCUUUCGGGAACAUUCGGUUAUAUUUAACAAAAGCGGCAUCACCCGACUUAUUUGUGACAAAAAUUAAAAUUUUGACUUUUUUUCUUUUUUUUGGUUGCUAUUUUUGCAAAAGGGGAGGUUGGACCCAAUGAGGGUUGCCUACGUAUCUCACACUCUAUGAGAAUCAAACCGGCGUAGUUCAGGCAGAUUAAACAAACUAUUUUAAAAUAAAAAGUUUUUUAUUUUUAUUUUUGUCAUUUCAAAAAUAAAUAAUUAAAAACUACUUUCAAAAGCAAGACUUUUUUUCAUUUUCAAUUUUCAUGGGAAGACAAACUAUUUUUCCUUUUCUACAUUUUUUUAAAAACAAGACAAAAUAAUAACUCUCUUUUUUUCUUUUUUAUUUUCAACAAACAAUAAACAACCUAUUUUUCCUUAACUAAAAUAAAUACUCUUUUUCUUCUUUUUCUCAACAAUCAACUUUCCACAAAAAAAGACUCUUUUUCUUUUCCUUUUCAACAAAUAAUAAAACAACCCAUUUUUCCAAACUAAAAAUAAAAGAUUCUUUUUCUUUCUUUUUCAACAAAUAAUAACACAAUCUAUUUUUCCAAACUAAAACAAAGACUUUUUUUUCUUUUCUAUUAACCAAAAAUAAAACAAUCUGAUUUCCCAAACUAAAACAAAGACCCGUUUUUUUUUUUUUUGCUUUUUGAGUUAUAAUUUUUUUUUCAUUUUCACAAAAUUUCGGCAGAAUUUCGAUAGUAUUUGGGCAUUGGUCUUUCUGAAAAUAAUUAAUUAUUUCUCUACGCUGCUAAUUUCCCUUUUCAUGAUUUUCUAAUAUUCCUAAUUUCAUGAGCCUGUAUGCAUUCAAGUAUGAACAAAUAAAUUCAUAAAGCAAACAAGAUGUAGCAUGAUGGUCUUUUCACUUCAGGUUGCUUAUCCUAGACUGACCAAACCCCUAUGUUGAGUCCCCUAGGUCAAAUUCACAUGGUGCAAAUAGACGUUCCUACUAGGGAUCCGGCAUGAAGCUGUGUUAUUCUAGGUUCAGAACCUGGGUGUUUGUUCUAAACCUGGCCUACCCAAGCGGACAGCUCGAGGCGCGGGGGGAGGGGGGGCAGAAUACCGCGGAUAUAGAAUCUCAACCCGACUUUGCAACGUAUCUGAACCUCGUUCUAAAAAUGGGAUUGACUCUAAACAGAAAAGAAUUCGCACGAAGUACCCCUUAUUCAUGAUAUAGAAGACUCAGAGAGGAGAAUAGUUUUCGGCAAAGUUUAUAUACAGUUCACAAAAUAUCAAAGCGGUAAAAGCAGUUAGUUAGCAUAUUAAGCACAUAUCAUGUAACAAAAUCAGAAAAAGCUAAACAUAACAAUUUAUUCUAAGCUCGAUUUCUAACCCUGAACAGUUGGUUCUAAGUGUUUAUCCCCACCAGAGUCGCCAGAGCUGUCACACCUCCUUUUUACCCGCGCCUGCAGGGGCAUAGUGGAGUUUUUCCAAUAAAAGGACAAUUAAAAUGGAUUUUAAUAAUUAAGAUUCAGAGUCGCCACUAUGGAGAUUUAUGGUGUCCAAAGUCACCGGUUUUACUCCUGAAUCGAGGAAAAGAAUGACUCUGUUUAAGUGUCAGCACACCAGACAUCCGGAUAAGAAAUUCUGUUAACACGGGAGAAGGUGUUAGGCAUUCUCAAAUUCCGUGUUUCUAGCACGAUCGCUCAAUUGUCAUAUUUAGCUUAUUUAUCUGAUUUUUAUACAAUUAUGAACUUAUAUGCAAGUUAUAACUCUUUUGCGGCUUUCAUUAUUAUUAUUUUUACAAGAAUUAAAACGUCAUAAAAAUACAUCUCGAACCACGUCACAUCAAUGUACCUGUGGUUAUCGACACAUUUUGACUCUGUUGAGAUUUAGAUUUGGGUCACAUAAAUGUGCACCCGAUUUUAGGUAGAUAAUAUUAUUAAAUACGCGUCUAGGGAUACUAACACGUUAUUAUUUUGAGAAGGCCGUAAAAUUUGCUAAAUGGCCUGUCCAAAAAUCUAAGCCUUUUUAAUAACCAUCUAUUGAGGGCCCCGCAGCUUGCGAUUUAUUUGGCGAGGCUCAUCUCAUUUAUUUUAAAAGGAGAAUCCUAAAGUGACUACAUUCUUCUAUUAAAUUUAUCUCUAAAAUAAAAGAGAAAAGUCCUAAUUAGUUACAUGCUUCAAAAGGCAGUAACUCAUUUAUCGGAUUAAGACAAGUGCAACUGGAAAAUUGCAAUCGAACUUGCGCUAAGGGAAAUUAUUUCGUGCCUUAUUCUAUAAGCCAAUAUUACUAAAAUUGAAAUUAUCAGUAGAAUAUGGAAUUGGCAUGAAUGAUCAUUCUAAUUUACGCCACAUACUUAGAUUGUGUGUUCAAUUCCUGUGCUUAUUAACAUCAACUCCUAAGUUACCAACACAUGUUAUAAGUAAUGAACUCAAGACAUAUUAAUUUUGACAUUGAAACUUAUUCUACUCAUAUCGAAUAUGGAAAUUACUUAAGAUGUAUGAACUUACUGAUUUCAAUCUAACAGUGCGUGAAAACUAUGUCUGAUUUGUAACUUCAAAUCGUGGAAUGCUAACAUACGAAUAAAUACUAACUAUUGUUGAUAACUACAAUCUAACAUUCCAUCACAAAUAUGAUUUCAGUUAGUCCAAAUUAGCUUGAAUAAAGUCCAGCUAUACAAAGCAUUUACUAAUCUAAAACAACAAAAAUAUAGACAUGCAUUAUCUACUGUCUACUCUACUCUACUAGCUUGGAUGCUUAAAUUUCAACCUACCAUUUCAUUGCAACUUCUCAAUAAAUAAUUACAUCAGCUUGUGUUUCAAGUGUGUGCCUGGAAAUGGAAAACAAUGAAGAAGAAACAGGAAUGAUCAGGAGCAGUAGUAACACAGUAGCAAAAUAAUAGCAACAACCCAGCUAUUCUUCAACCCCAAGAAUGAUUCAAAUGACCAAAAAAAACAAUAGAAAUCCCAACAGAUUGACCCACAGCAAUACCAAAAAUCCAACCAACAACUAAUUAAACCAGUACAGCAAGUUCAACUCCAAAAUAAUCAGUGAACCAAAUAGAAAAUAGAGAUUGACUCACAACUUACCAACACCAGUCAAACGAAUUCGAAAGAUGCACUAGAUUUACUUAGGUUCCAUUUAGUGUGUUUGAAAAUGAAAUCAAUGAAGCAAUGGGGUUUUUAACUUUCAAAUUCUGAAGGUUUCAAAGUACGGAAGAAUUCAGCUUUGAAAACUUUCAAGAAGAACUGAUCCUUUAGCUCUCAAGUUUUUAACUCUCUCUUUUCUUUGUAUGUUUGACUCUCCAAGAUUUUGUUUCAAAAAAAUUUCUCUAAAAAUUGAUGCUUACUUGAAGAAAAUGUUCUCCCUUUUAUUCCAUUCUCUAAUUUUCGAUUACCUUUUCUUUUCUGGAUUUUUAGGCCUUACUAGGUAGUUAAUCAUUCUUAAAUUGGUCCUUUUUAAGACAGAAGUAGUCUUCCACUAAUAAUUGUCUAUUAACUAUUCAAUCCCACUUAGAAUGUCUCUCUUUUGACUAAUCCAUUAGUAUAUUACUCAUUACCUAGUGCCCCCCCCCCCCAUACCAUUAUGUCUUGCUUCCCACUUACUUAUUAGUUUAAUAGCCUUUAAUACCCUACUUUUAGAUUGCUAAUAUUAAACUAAUUCCCUAAUAUUUUUAUUCUCAAAUUGCCCCUUAAACCCUCUGACUAUUACUACCCCAAGACAAUCUGUUCAAACCUAAAGAAAAUUACCUAAAACUAAUUCUAAUUAACAGUUAUAACCAAUUUUCCUGACCAAAUUCAACCAGUGAUUCAAUAAGCAAAAGAUCAAGAUCAAAAUGGCAUCAAAACAAUGAGUUGAUCAUAUUGAUAAAAGAACAAACAGGGAGACAAUAAGCAAAACUAAAAUAGUAUGAAUUGAGGAAUGAGCUUAUCACGUGAAAAACUAAAGAACGUGGGAUGGCAUAGAUAUAGGGAACAUGCAAACACAACUCUAACUCAAAUAUACAUACAAGAUGCAGGAUUGUUGAAAGUAUAUUUGACACUGAAUUCCCUGAAGCGGGGAACACAAACAUAAACACAGGUUACCAAGGACAGUUCGAAGAGCACAAACAAUGACCUAAUUGAUGAAAUUUAAUUGAUCGACAACAUAGUUUAUAACAUAUAAUCAGAAAAUUUGGACCAAAGAAAAAGGUCAGUAAAAGGGGGAGAAGAAAAUAACUGACAAAAAUAAUGAACUUAAUACAAUAGUAUAAAUAAAUAACAAUAUACCUAAACAUAGAACAAACAAAAGAAAGGAAAAAUAACUCAAGAACUCAGAAACCAGACGGACUCGACUUGAAACUCUGACUUGCGCCUUUUUGGGGUAAAAACAGACUUUUAAUCGGGUGUUCUCAACUAAGAAGACUCGACUAAAGUCAAUUGAGGCACCCAUUUCUUUUAUUUUUGACAAACUUCAGCCUAGGUCUUGUCUUGGUUUAUACGGUUCGAUUUGGGAUUCGAAUGAUUCCAACGUGAUUCGGAGGGAACCAUUGGUGAUUCAGAGGUGAAGGAGGCCUGGUAAAUAUCUAGUGUGAGUUUGGGGUGGAUUGGGUUUAGUUCACGGUUUGCUCGAAUCUUCGAUAAAAGAUUCGAGAAGCUGGGGGAUGAUUCGAAGCAAACUGUUAAUGGAUUCGUGUUCAGGGUGGUUAGAAGGUCCUAGGGUGUUGGUAUGCCACUGGGUUUCAAAUGGAGGAACAGGGUGGCAGCUAGGGUUUAGCCCUAGCUUGUCUUUGAGAGAGAGAGAGACGAUGAAUAGUGGAAUGGGGGGAGGGGUGUUUGAUUUGGAGGGGCUGGGGUGAGAGAUGGGGAUUAUAUACUGGGGGAGAUGGUUUGAUCUUGGCCGUUGGAUCAAGCAUGAUCAACGCCCUGGAUCAUUUACUUACGGGGAAAUGGUGCUGUUUUGGUUAAUUGGGGAAUUGGGUCUGUCCGGGAAAAACGGGUCUGGGCUGGAGAGAUGAUCUCGACCGUUGGAUCAUGAUCAAUGGAUGGUUGAGAUCUCUUGGCCAUGGAACGACGUCGUUUUGGACGUCUGAGAGGUCUGGUCAAAUUGACCGAGUUAAAACUUCGUUCGAAUCAUCGGAAGGCUAGAAAUGCAAAUGGUAAUCAUCUCCCACUUCUUCUCGGGCAGCUCAAUCCUCUAAAAUAAACCACCGAUCCUCUGAUGCUGGUACUUAACCUGCUGAAUGUUCAGACAACGAGCCACAUAUGCAACAAUAUUCUUCUUCAUUCUAUGCCACCAAUAAUGCUGCCUUAAAUCCUGAUACAUCUUCUGACGCCCGGAUGAAUAAAAUACCGAGAACUAUAGGCCUCCACUAAGAUCGACUCCCGAAUACAAUCAACACUGGGCACACAAACUCGCCCCUGCAAUCUCAAUACAUCAUCAUCUCCCAAGGUCAUUUUUUGGCACCUCCUCGUUGCACUGUGUCUCUUAGGACACACAAAUGGGGAUCAUCAAGCUACCGCUCAUGGAUACGCUCCAUCAACGACGAAUGAGCAACCAUGCAAGCUAACACCCGGCUAGGCUCAGAAAUAUCCAACCUCACAAAUCGAUUGGCCAAGGCCUGAACAUCCAAUGAAAGCCGUCUCUGGCUGACAGUAAUAUAGGCAAGAUUACCCAUGCUGGCGGACAUCCUAGUCAAUGCAUCGGCUACCACAUUGGCCUUCCCCGAGUGGUAUAAGAUAGAAACAUCAUAGUCUUUAAACAACUCCAACCACCUCCUCUGCCUCAAAUUCAAUUCCUUUUGUUUGAAUAAGUACUGAAGGCUCUUGAGAUCCGUGUACACCUCACACGUCACACCAUAUAAAUAAUGCCUCCACAUCUUCAAGGCAUGAACAAUGGCUGCCAGCUCUAGGUCAUGAACUAGAUAUUUAUUCUCGUGGAUCUUCAACUGACUCGAAGAAUAUGAUAUGACUCUGCCAUUCUGCAUCAACACUGCGCCAAGCCCGAUACGGGAAGCAUCACAAUACACAAUGUGAGGCCCUGAUCCUGUGGAGAAAACAAAUACCACUGACGUAGUCAGAAUUGUCUUGAGCUUCUGAAAGCUCGCCUCGCGCUCAUAUGACCACCUGAACUAGGCACCCUUCUAGUUCAAUCUCGUCAUCGGGGCUGCAAUGGAUGAAAACCCCUCCAUGAACCGUCGGUAGUAACCUGCUAAUUCCAAGAAACUCCGGAUCUCUGUAGCUGACGUUGGUCGAGGCCAGUUCUUGACUGCCUCAAUCAUCUUCGGGUCCACCUGAAUACCCUCUGAUGAAACAACAUGACCCGGGAAUGCAGUUAAACUAAACCAAUACUCGCACUUUGAGAACUUGGCAUACAACUGACUAUCCUUCAGAGUCUGAAGAACCACUCUGAGGUGCUGCUCAUGUUCCUCUUGACUGCGGGAGUAUAUCAGAAUGUCGUCAAUGAAUACAAUCACGAACAAGUCCAAAUAGGGCCUGAACACUCGGUUCAUCAACUCAUAAAUGUUGCCGGGGCAUUGAUCAACCCAUAUGACAUGGCCAAAAACUCAUAAUACCCAUACCGAGUGCAAAAUACUUUCUUAGGGACAUCAGACGCCCUAAUCCUCAGCUGAUGAUAACCAGACCUCAAAUCUAUCUUCGAGAACACCCCAGCACCCUGAAGCUGGUCAAAUAAAUCGUCAAUCCUCGACACUAGAUACUUGUUUUUUAUUGUCACCUUGUUCAACUGCCGGUAAUCAAUGCACAUUCUCAUCGACCCAUUCUUUUUCUUCACGAAUAACACUGGCGCGCCCCAAGGCGAUACACUAGGUCUAAUGAAACUGUUAUCAAGCAAGUCCUGAAGCUUCUCCUUCAACUCUUUCAACUUUGGCAGCGCCAUGUGAUAUGGCGGAAUGGAAAUAGGCUGAGUGCCCGGAGCCAAGUCAAUACAGAAAUCAAUAUCCCUGUUGGGCGGCAUACCCGACAGGUCUGGAGGAAAAACCUCGGGGAACUCCCGAACAAUAGGAACAUAGUCAAUAGAUGGAACCUCUGCACUGGAGUCACAAAAAUAUGCCAGAGAUGCUAGACACCCCUUAUCAACCAUACGUCGAGCCUUGACCUGGGGUCCCUCUCCACUCAGUCGGGGCAAGUUUUUCAAAGCCAAGGUCACAAUCUUAGCGUGAUAGUCCAAAAUAGCAUGAUACGGGGACAACCAACCCAUCCCCAAUAUAACAUCGAAGUCCACCAUAUCUAAGAGCAAUAAGUCGACACGGGUCUCAAGACCCUCAAAUACUACCACACAUGAUCGAUGCACUCGGUCGACCACUAUAGAAUCACCCACCGGUAUAGACACAUAUACAGGAGUACCCAAGGCCUCACUAGGAAUAACCAAAUAGGGUGCAAAUAGGAUGAAACAUAUGAAUACGUAGAUCCCGGAUAAAAUAUCAUUCAAGCACCUCUAUCACAUACCAGAAUAGUACAUGUAAUCACAGCAUCUGAUGACUCGGCCUCUGGCCUAGCUGGCAAAGCAUAACAACGGGUCUGGGCCCCACCUCCCUAAACCAUAUCCCUGGGACGAUCGGCUACUGGCUGACCCCUUCCUCUGGAGGUCUGGGCUCCACCUCUAUGCUCCAUGCCUCCACCUCUAUGGCCUCUACCCCCGCCUCUAGCUGGGUGGGUGGCCUGUAAAUCACCUGCUGCCUGAAUCAUCGAACGGGGACCCUGCUGCUGCGACCGAGAACCUCUCAUCCUUGGGCAAUACCUUCUGAUGUGACCAAGGUCUCCAUACUCAUAACACCCAUCUGAAUGUGGCAACUAAGAAAACUGGGACUGACCCUGUCGCCCUAAAUGACCUCCUCGAAGGCUCGGAAGUGGUGGUGGAUGAACUGCCGAUCAGAAUAGUGCUACUGAGAACCACUACCGCUUGCAGUACCAUGUGAAACCUGAAGUGCUGACUGAAAGGGCUUCUGAGGGUGGCCUCAACCAUAUGAAUCCCUACCUCCAGAUGAGGUGCCGUUGAACCUACCAGAAUGACGAGGCCUCUUAUUUGACCCCUGAUCACCUCCUCGUGCAAGUGCCAUCUCUAUCCGGCGGGCCGCAUUGGCCGCCUCCUAAAAGACAUAUCACUACCGGCUCCCAUAGCCAUAUGAAGCCGGAUCGACUAAGUCAACCCAUCAAUAAAUCUCCACACCCUCUCCCUCUCAGUGGGGAUUAUAACAAUAGCAUGGCGUGCCAAAUCAAUAAAACGAGUCUCAUACUACAUGACUAUCAUAGUACCCUGAUGAAGACGCUUAAACUGUCUGCGUAGACCAUCUCACUCAAUCACCAGGAGAAAGUUCUCCACGAACAACUCUGCAAACAGAUCCCAAGUAAAUAAUGGCGACCCUGCUGGCCCAGAUAAACAAUAGUCCCUCCACCAAUAGUCCCUCCACCAAGUCUUGGCGGAUCCUGCAAGCCGAAAAGUGAUAAAGUUGACCCCAUUGGUCUCCACAAUACCCAUAGUCCUAAGAACCUCAUGGCAGCUGAAUAAAAAGUCCUGAGGGUCCUCUGUAGAAGCACCGUUGAAGGUGGUGGUGAGAGCUUGGUGAACCUAUCAAGCCUCCACAAAGCAUCCGCGGACAUCGCCGCACUAUCGCCGGUCUGAGCUGGAAUACCCGGCUGGGCUGCUACGGCCGGCUGAGCUGUUAGAACCUGCGGCUGAGGAGCUACCUGCUCCGGAGUACACGUAGCGGGAGUCUAAACUCCUCCCCCAGCUAGAGAUGUGGCUGGUGCUACAGGAAGUAAACCCGUUCUAGAGUUGCUCUCCAUAAAGCCUAUCAAUCGGACCAAAGUGCCAUGGAGUACUAGAGUGGCUAUGAAACCCUUUGGGACCUGAGUUGGGCCCACCAGAGCUUCUGGUGCUAGAACCUCCUCAUCGUAGUCAACAUGAGGCUCUACCUCUAGGAAUGCUGCUCGAGGCUGAGCUCUACCCCGGCCUCAGCCUCUGGCACGGCCUCGGCCUCACCCUCUGACCCCUGAUAGGAGCUGCUAUGCGGUAGUAGAGGAAGCACGUGUUCUCACCAUCUGCGAAAUAACAUAGUAGAAUGACAAUCAGUAUUUGAGAAACAGAAUCGCACGAUAAGAAUGAACAAAGUGAAAUUUUUUUUUCUAACUCUAUAGCCUCUAGGGAUAAAUACAGACGUCUACGUACCGAUCCCUCAGACUCUACCGAGCUCGUCCGUGAGUUGUGAGACCAACGUAACCUAGUGCUAUGAUACUAACUUCUCACGACCCGAAUUUUCCACCAUCGAGAGUCAUAAUGGCACCUACUAUCGUAGCUACGCAAGCCACAUAUUAAAAUAUUUUACUGAUUUCAUUUAAAUAAUAUAAUAAGCUGGAAUAAAUAAUUAAAGCGGAAGACUUUCAAAUGCUUAAGUAACUUAAAACAGAAAUACCAAAGUUCCAAAAUAUACUUCUACCUUGUAUCUGGUGUCACUACUCAUGGACUACUACGAAUUACUAAAACAAGAGUCUGAAAGAAAUACAUAUAAUGUCUGUCUCGAUACAAUGAAAACAAAUAGUACUAAGAAGGAACUUCAUCCUGUGACUAGGCUACCUUGAGAUUCCCUGGACUAAAGACAGCUCCCAGAACUCCUACUGCUGCGGUUCGUAAGCUGCUCCCUAAUCUGUGCACAAAAAUGCACAGAGUGUAGCAUCAAAACAACCGACCCCAUGUGCUGGUAAGUUCCUGGCCUAACCCCGGCAAAGUAGUGACGAGGCUAGACAGGACCUACCAAAAAUAACUUGUACAGAUAUAGGUGCAAUAACAUGAAAUACACUAAUUUAAAUAACUAAGAGGGAGGGAGCAUGUUGUGGGGUACGACAGUUUAAAUAUAGAAAUUAUCGGAUAAGAAGUGAAGCUAAACAACAACAACUGAUAAGGAAAAACAAGGAAAAUCUACAUAUGAGAACAAUACACUUGGUCCAUACUCUGUUGUAGCGCGCAACCCGAUCCUCAAUAUUUAAUACAGUUGCGACGUGCAACCCGAUCCUCAAUAUUUAACACCGUUGCGAGUGCAACCUGAUCCUCAAUAUUUAAUACCAUCGCCGCAUGCAACCCGAUCCUCAAUAUGUAAUACCGCUGCGGCGUGCAACCCAAUACUCAAUAUUUAAAAAUAAGAACUCACCAAACAACAACCACAACUCAAGUGCGAGGGGAGUAAGAACAAAUGCAAUAAGUCCCGGCGAGGGAAUACCAUUAACAACUCAAAUGUCCCGGCAAGGGAGGAUAAAGAAAUACAAAAAUCUUGGCAAGGGAAUAGUCACAACACUUCCUCUUAAUAUUACUUAUUCCUCGUGUAACAAUUUCUAGUCUGAGCCAAUGCUCUAAUGACAAACCAAUCACAAACCUUUCUCAACUAUUCACUUUAUAUUAAACUUAUCAACCAAGCAAGCAAGAUAUAUCAUCAAAUCCGAAUCAAACACAAAUAAGACUCAGAGUCAUGCUAGACUCCGGUGCAUAGAUAACCGUCACCAUACUCCACAUUUAGCAAGUAGCAAUUAAUAUCCUAAUCAUAUUCCCUCACGCCAAAAGUUAGAACAAACACUUACCUCGGUCCACAAAUAGCAAUCAACUCUCUAAAAUCGCCUUUCCUCUAGAAUCCAACUCCAGAACAAUGAUAUCUAGGUACAAUUUAGUUAAUUGUCAAUAAUGGCUCAAAAACAUAAUCUCAUAGCAUAGAAACGAAAUUCCAAUCAUUCUUCCAAAAUAUUCAAAAUCGUACCCCGAGCCCACAUGGUCCAAACUCGACGCUCGGGCCAAAAUUCGAUCGCCCAUAACACCACGUGUUCAAAUAUAUAAUUUAUUUUAAGAUUCGAUCCCAAAUUGAGGUUGAAUCAUCCAAAAUCCCCAAAGCCCUAGUUCUACCCAAAACCCCCAAUUUCUGCCCUAAUCUAUAUGAUUUAAGCUUAGAAAUUCAGUAAUUAAUGAAGAAAAUGAAGGAGAUAAGUGGAAUUUUACUACCUUAAGUGAUCUUGAAGAAAGGGGGCUUCAAUGGACUCCUAAGUGCUCGGGGAGGAAGAGAGUUCAAGUAUUUUUCUAAAAGAACCCGUAGCUACUGUUUUGAGGCUGCUCUUGGAUUCAUUUUAUAGCAUUUUGGAGUUGAAUUUUAGCUGGUUUGAGACUGUCUUUUGCGGCUUUUGGAGGCUGGUUUAAAGGUGAUUUUGAGCUGGAAAAAGGGCAGCAUUUAGAACGUAUUUUGCAGCUGAUUUUAUCACUUCUCUGGGAUGUUUUUCGCAGCCAUUUCAGCUUCAUUUUUAGGCUGAAACAGGGACGUUCUUGAAUUGAUUUUUAGAGCUAAAGAUGGUGUAUUUUGGGAAGAAGAAGCAUGUCUUUUUUUUCAUGGCUGUUUGGAGUAUUUUAAUGGAGGUUUCUCACUGAUUUUCAUGGUGUCGAAGGUGGGCUUUAUUGUGGCUGUUUGGAGUUAGUUUGAUGGGUGUUUGGAGGUGAAAGGAGUUGAUAUUUUUUGGGCUGAUUGCAACAGCUCGUUACUGUAUAUUUUUGAAGGUUUAUGAGAUUAGUUUUGAUGGAGUUUCAAGAAGUGCUUUUGGAGGAAACAAUGAGAUGGUAAUGGUGGAGAUUCGCCACUCUUUCAUGGCUGAAUAUUUGGGUGUAUUUUUGUGUUCAAGAACAAAGAAAUGGCUGCCCUUGUUUUCAGAAGAAUGAGCUGCACCUUUUUUUUCUUUUCUUCUUUUUUUUCGUGGCCUAUUCAAAAUUUGCCCGAGCCCUCGGAGCUCCAAACCAAAUAUACUCACAAUCUAAUAAAUAUCCCACGGACUUAUUCGAGCGAUCAAUUCGCUAACAUCAUAAAUGAAGAAUCAAACCCCAAAAUCAAUACUUUUCAUCAAACUUGUUAAACUUCUAACUUUAGAUUUUUAGGUCCGAAACACGUCAAACGUCGUUCGAUUUCGAACAAAUUUCACAUAAAGCUCUUAACGCAUUUUAAGACCUGUACCGGACGUGAGAACCAAAAUACGAACUUGAUGCCUAUAUUUUCUAAUUUAUUUUCUUUUCAAAAUACCAUAUCAUUUUCAGAAAAAUAAUUUCUUUCAAAAAUUCCAUACUCGAGCUUGGAACCUCAGAUUUCGAUCCGAGAAUACGCCUGAGUCCCAUAUUUUCCUACGGACCUCCUGGGACCGUCAUAUCACGGGUCCGGGUUCGUUUACCCAAAUAUUGAUCAAAGUCAACUAUUUCAAUAUUAAUAUCAAAAUUAUUCAUAUUUUCCACAUAUUUCACAUAUUUUAACAUAAAAUUUUCCGGCUUCGUGCCCGGACUGUGCAGGCGAAUCAAGGCAACUAAAAGCAAGAUUUUCAAGGCCUCGAAAAUACGAAAAAAGAGAGAAUUAUGGUGAUGACUCCUUUGGAUCGUCACAACCUCUUUUUCACAAAUCUUUAAAAAAUCAAAGAAUUCAAUUUUAAAUUUGAGUUAUCUAAUAACUCUUUGAAAAACCACAAUAAAAGUAUAGUUGCCAUAUUUUGUGACUUCUCGAGCAAAUAUAGUUAAAAAUGUUUGUAGCAAAUCACUUAAAUAUUCAAGGGCUAUAUAUUUUUGCUAAACUAAAAAAGAAUAAUUUGAUAACUUGUGAAAGUGAAGCGAUAAAAUUAUAAAACUGACACAAAGUUUAAGGCGACAAAAUUGAAUGGUGAUUGAGGACUUCUAAGCGACAAAGUUUCUACUUUUCUCGAGUUAACUAUUUAGGAUCAAUGUCAUCGUUUUCAAGAGGGGAUGGUAAGCAACUUCCACUUUCAAUCGAGAGGUUGUGAGUUUGAGUCUCCUCAAGAGUAAGGUGGGAAGUUCUUGGAAGGAAGGAUGCCGGAGGUCUAUUUGAAAACAGUCUCUCUACCCUAGGGUAGGGGUAAGGUCUGCGUACACACUACCCUCCCCACACCUCACUAAGUGGGAUUAUACUGGGUUGUUAUUGUUGUUGUUGUUGUUGUUAUCAUUUUCAAUAGCUUAUACUUAUAUUUUUUAAUUUGAACAUAAUUUUUAGCAUAAUAAUUGUGUGAUACUGUACACGCGCAACGCGCGUACGCCAAAACUAGAUAGUUUGGCUCUAAUCUCGAAAAAGCACAAAGGCCCUUAGCGAAAUGUCAUUUGCCUUUUUUACUUUUAAAAAUAGAGUUAACAUCGGACAAUAUAGUAAUUUUAAUAUUUUCUAAUAUGUAGGAAUGAUGAUUUAAUUAUUUUCCUAAUUGCUGGAAUAUUAGAAUCAACUAUAAUUCUGAAUAUUUAUUUUUUCCAUAUUUAGAAUUUUACAAGCAAUUAAAAUUUAUUUCAUAUAGAUUUCCUUAUUUAAAGACCAUUAAUAUUAAAGUCAAACAAUAAUAUAUUUUUUGCAUUCAAAACUUAGAAAUUGUAUUUGUACAAAUAGGCACACAUUACCCAAAACUAAUAGGAACAUCGAAUAAUUAAAAAAUUUAAGGAACAAUAAUUGUAAAAACACAUUGUCAAUUGAAUUUUCUCUUGAAAUUAAUGAUAUUACAAAUUUAUUUUUGGACAAGUUUAUCUGAGUAUAUAAUUUUAAGUGUUAUAUAUAAAUUUGUGUUAUUUGCAACAAGUAUUUUUAUGUUACUUUUUUCUGAUAUUAGAUACAAAACUAAUAACAAUUUUAUAAGAUAUUCCACAUACCUAUGAGGCAUAAUUUAUUAUUUUAUUGAACUAACUAAAGUGAGAUUAACAUUCUAUUAAUUUUAUGAACUUACUUUGUGUCUCAAACACAUUGCUUAAUUUUUUUUUCAAAUUUUUAAGUCAAUAUAUAUUGAUAUAAGAAACACGCUCAAAGCGUGUACCCUAAGAUUAGGUACUAUAUAUAUAUAUAUAAAAGCCAAAUUCAAUAGGUCAUGAGUAUUUUUGUACCUUUCCGUUUUCCAAAAUGAUCCUCCCAACUUGUCCAAGUCAUGACCCUUAUUUUUUAGCGUGUUACUUACGUUUUUACCCUUUGCGUUGACGGAAACAACAAAAACAAUUUCAUUUUCAAUAAUUAAGUACUAACUCCGAUGUGUAUUUAUUACUUUUUAAAAAUUAUUAUACAUCCUAUAAGAAAGAUGUAUAUAAUAAUCUUUGUUAUAGUAUUAUUUCCGAAUUGCCAUUUAUCUCUCCUUAAACAUCUUCAUUAAUACUGUAAUAAUUGAAAUAUAAAAACAACAAAUAUUUUAAAAUAAAAUUCACUUCAUCAAAACGAUCAAUAUCUGGAAUCAAGUAGUGGAACUGACAAACGUUAGGUGAUGGCCACUUCUCCAACUUUAAAAAAUACAGAAAAUUUGAUGAACUUCUUGGCAAAGACGCCUCUAUAUUAGGAUCGAAUACUUACUCGUGGUUUUCCUUUUACAAGUUUCUUGAUCAUCUGCUUCAUCAAUCUUGAACCGAUAGAGCGUUCUUUCCUUUUCUUUUAACUGUAUCUGACGCACAUUAAGCUUGUUUCAAACAAGCCAAAUUCAUACGUACUUAUGACUCGGUUCAAAAUAUAUUUCCAACUUAAAGGCAAGCUCAAUUUUUUUUUUUUCACAAGUCAAACUCGAUCUCGAUUUUGCAGUAUUUAACUAAGAUAAGCUCGAUAAUUUUAAACUUGUUCAGAGUUCGGUUAGACAUAGUUGCUUGAUAAUCACAUCACAUUCAAGUAACAACAACAACUACCCAGUAUAGUCCCACAAAGUGGGGUCUGGGGAGGGUAAUAUGUUGACGAGUCUUACCCCUACCCGAAAGGGCAGAGAUCACAUUCAAGUAAUAUAAGAAAAUAGAAAGAAUACAGGUUGAUUUCUACCUCUUUAUAGUUCUAUAUUGGCAUGUCUAGAUAGUUCAACUCAAAAAAAAAAAAGUGCAGAUUCUUUAAGCUAAUGAAGAAUGAUGUUUCACAAACUUGUAAUGUGAUUAUUCCAUUUUGGAGUAAUCAACUUGCCCGGCAGAGCAAGAUCAUGUUUAGUGAUACAGAAAUGGCCUACUAACACUAUUACGUGGUUUGUCCACAUCUCAAUUAAAACUGGUUGCCACAUUAAAUGUGAAUAUCAUUCUCAAUAUGCAUCAAAAUCGUCUUUCAUCCUCCAACAAAACUAGAUAUAUAUGAAUCUAACUUUGAAUAUUUUAACAUAAUAUCUCUUUAGCCACUCGUCACGUCUCUACAGCACAGAGAUCGCCUCCAGCAUCCCCUUCCCUUCAACAUAAUCUUGUUUAAAGGUAGUAAGUGCCAGAGGCCAGAAAUCCUAACAAGGGGAUCCAAAAACUAAAGAAUGCAACAGCUAGGGUUCAAACUUAGCACACUAUUUAUGCAGCAAUUCAAGAAAUGGCUAUUCUAAAUAAAAGAACGUUAUGGGACACCAUACAGCAUCACUCCAGAAUAUCAUCGGGGGGGGNNNNNNNNNNNNNNNNNNNNNNNNNNNNNNNNNNNNNNNNNNNNNNNNNNNNNNNNNNNNNNNNNNNNNNNNNNNNNNNNNNNNNNNNNNNNNNNNNNNNNNNNNNNNNNNNNNNNNNNNNNNNNNNNNNNNNNNGGCAACCUUAGCAAUUUACAAUAUUUGUAGUUCCAAAUUUUAAAGCACUGAUGAAACUUUAAAAGUUUGAUAGUCUACUCUUUGAUUUCACAUAAGCGCACUUUCAUGCAAGCUCAAGCAGGAAGUGACUGGAAUAUUGUAUUCGGAAAGAAUCAAAUUGAUUGAGAAAUAGAAAGGAUAAUGGUUUCCUCAACUAUUGAGACCUUCCAGGGGCUUCUCAGUGCUGCUGACAUAUUAUUUUGGACAGUACAGAACAAAGGAUCUUCACUGUGAAAUCUUGCUACAAAUUCACGAUAGCAGGUGAGAGUCAGAAGUCAUCCUAGUAAUGGAACCAAAUUUGGAAAACAAGAGCACCAUAUCAAGUGACUUGUUUUUCAUGGUUAGUUGCCUAUGCAACUUGUUUGACAUAGGAAAAUCCACAACAGGGAGCAGACUUGCAAACCUGCAAUAGAUGCUACCUAUGUAGGAAAGAAGAUGGAAGGUAACGGCCAUCCUCUUUUCCAGUACAUCGCAGCUAUGUCAUUUUUGUUUGAGCAUUCUGGAUCUGAGAUAGGUCAGGACUCAGGCCAAGAACUACCCAAGAACACAGAUGCUGGUGCAAGAAAUGCCUUAGUGAGGGUCUUAGCAGCAUAUGGAACACCAUAUCAGCUUUGUUUUUGAUGGACACUUUGGAGGGGAAGGAAUCAAAGUUGUUUGGGCGGCUAAGCAGACUCCAAUUCGAUGGUCAAGUUUAACUGUAUAUUAUUGGUUUACCUAUGAUGUUAUGUAGAGUAUGUAGAUGAGCCUGAAACAUUAUUAUACUUAACAAGUUCUUAAUGGAAUUUAAUGGACUAUGUUUUUUUCUCUUUGAUGUAUAUAUCAUAGGACCAACUUGGUUCUGUAGCAUUAAUAAAAUUAUCCUGUUUAGUGGAUUAAAAGAAGGUUCAUGCAGAUUGCAGGCUUAAGAAGCCGGGAGCAGCUUGAUUUUUCUAUAGUAUCAAAGUUAUUUCGACUUGUGUGGCAUUUCACUAUCUUAAGAACAAGAUGUGCUCCGCUGUUUCUUCUCCUCUUUUUACCAUAGUGUUAAACUUAAAGCCAUGUGCUUCUCUUUUUUUACCCAUAUUCCACUUAUAUGAAACAUAACAAUCCCUCUAUCCCAAGAUAACUAGUAUGUUACUUCCUCUAAUAUCAACAGUCAAACUUUCACAGAAAGUAACUUUAGUCCUGAAUUUUAAUGCUAUUAAAGAUUAAAAAGUAUUAAAAAAUACCAACCUAUAUACUUAGUAUAAGAUCAAAUUCAUCAAAGUUAACCUUUUUUUCAUUUUUAUACAUUUCCCAUUACAUACUAUAGAACUUCCAACUUACCACGAUACUUGUCUCCAGUCAAGUUACAAUACUUAACAUGGAGUGAAGGGAACAUCGAUUAUUCAUACUAUAGAGUAGUCAAGGCCCAAGUAAGCAUAAUGAUAAGCUGACUUAACCAAAGAACAUCCUGCGGUAAUUUACAAGGCAAUAUUAAUCUGUAGGGGAAAAGAAGGGCAUAAAAGUAGACCGAAUCGCUCAGAAUAUCUAAGUGCCUUACUACACAUAAAACCUCAACUGCUAGUUCUGAAAAGUAACAAAUUUCAGGUACAAAAAUAUAAAAAGGUCAACAAGAUUACCAUACGAAGUUACAUACAAAGGCACCCAGUCCUCAUUGAGAAGGGUAAAUACAUGGUCCAGCCUUCCGCAUAGGUUAAUAAAGUACAAACAACAGAAAGUGCAUUAUACCAAAAACAUACACUACUAGAUAUAUUAUUCAGUUUUUAUUUUUAACAUGGCCUGAACCAUCCUCUACAGCCACAUUGACCUUUUCAUACCUGAAGUCUCCGGGAUGCACUGAGCUCUUCACUGGGAUCACUACCUCGGAAUUAUUGCCAAGUAUCACCCACAAAAAAAGUCCAAUAAAGGUCGCCAAUGCUAUACACCCUGAGGCAAAAAUAAACCCUGAGAGAAAUGCCAUAAGAUGAAACUUUUUUUUGUUAGCCAUCUUUUCCAGACUAUGUUCGUUGCCAAUUUUAAGUGGAUCCGCAGGCUGUGAAUGUAACCACUUUGGAACACUCCGCACUCUGAAGUUCCAUGAAUAGACGCUAGUAACUUGGAAUGAACUUCCAGUAGAAGAACUUAAUCCCACCAAUACUUCUUCGCCUUUCCACAUACUCGCCAAAUCGACCUGAUACACUAACAAGGGAUCGUACGGCCUAGGACUACCAAAUUCACUUAGUCUUACCUCUAAUCGUUUCAAAGUGCAUUCGUAAUCAACCCAAGAAUGCAGCUAUUUUCCACUAUUCAACACCAAGUUGAUGAACGAAACGUUGGUUGAUUUUUUAGAAACAAGACUGCCCGCAUUCACACCCACAUGAUUGGCACUUUUCAGAAACAAGACUGCCCGCAUUCACGCCCACAUGAUUGGCACUUUUAUCCCCCACAUUUUUGUUCAACAAAGUAUCAAACUCAACCCCAAAAAAUCGCCUUUCAUUAGAAAGCCCGAACAUUUUCUUGGAAAACUUGGAGGGGAAAUCAGUAGGCACAAUAACGAAGGAAAGGCCAUCUUAGUAGGCACAAUAACGAAGGAAAUAACGCUGGGUCAUAAAUUAUGGGUCGGGGCGGGUUUAAUUAAUGGAAUGGGGCAGGUCGUCUGGUCCAAUCAUAAGAUGCCACGUGCUACUAAAAUUUGGAGUUGAUUCAGAUGGAAAAUUCUCAAUUCAGAAGCUUUAAAAGAGACGACUUUGAUGGGUCGGUUAGUUGCACAAAGGAGCCUUCUUUAGUGAUUUUAGCAUCGCCAAUAAGGCCGAGAUUAGGAUCAAAGUGGGAACUGAGUCCAAUUGAGAAGGAGAAAAUGGAGAACGGGAGCAAAGUCAAGAGAAGAAGAAGAAGGUAGAUAGGAACAUUGUAGAGCAUCAUACCGCUGGGAAUGCGCAAUGUGGGCAUCAUUCAUGCGCUGACAACGGAAAAUUUGAGAGUAUUUGGCUACUAUUAAGGUUAGGGUUUGGGUUUUGUUGAUGCUCUGAAGGUGGAGUUCUUGGAGUAAAGUGGAAGGUAAAAUAGGAAUGUCUCUUGGAACUGGAACAGUCAACACUUCGUACUUUGUGGUCAACAACUAGAUGGCUGUGUUAUCUGCGGCAACUAGGUGCUUUUGGUAGUUGCUGUUUAUAAGAUGUUGGAUCCAUUGAAAAAUUUUCCUUUAAAAAAAAAAAAGAAACAAAAAAAACAAAACAAAAAAUUCAAAAAUAUUUAUACAUUAAAUUUUGCAAUUUUUUGAAAAUUUUUGAAAAUGAGUUUUUCAAAAAGAUUAAUUUUCAAAAUUUUCAG